UGCAGAGGAUACAUGGCACCAGAGUAUGCAUUAUGGGGUUAUUUAACCUAUAAAGCCGAUGUAUACAGUUUUGGGGUUGUUGCUUUGGAACUUGUUGCAGGGAAGAACAACAUGAAAUAUAGACCAAAUGAGGAUUGCUUUUGUCUUCUAGAUUGGGUAAGUCAGUUUUUUUUUUCUUGUUCUUUGCAUGUGUUAAAUCAAGAUAAUGGUUUGAAACCAGAUCACUUUUUCUGAAAUUUGUCUGUUUAACUUGGUCAAGCUGCUUUCAUUGUGGAGAGGGAGGGAGAGAAGGAGAGAGAGAGAGAGAGAGAGAGAGAGAUGGAGAGAAAGAGAGAGUAGAAGUAAUCAACUUAGUAGUAGUGUAACAAAUGUUAGGUGGAUAGACAUAACAUAAUGACAGCAUCAAGACCACUUCCAUUUUCCAUUUUGCUUCAUUUUCUCCCCUUUUGCAUUGGUCAUUUCCUAGAUUGUGAACUAUUAUUUAAUCUCAUUGUCUGAAUUGUGGUUGAUAUGAUUUUAUUUGUUUUUCUAAACAUUUCCGACCUUCUCUUUUGCUUCCUUCAGGCCUUUGUUUUACAACAAAAAGGAAAUUUAAUGGAGCUAGUGGAUCCAAAGUUGGGGACUGAGUUCAAAAAGGACGAAGCCAUAAGGAUGAUCAAAGUUGCCCUAUUAUGCACCAAUCCAUCUCCAGCACUUAGACCUACCAUGUCUGCAGUGGUGAGCAUGCUCAAAGGUCAAACUGUCAUUCAGGAAUACCCCCUGAAUCCUAGUAUUUAUGGUGAUGAAUUUGGGUUUGAAGCCCUCAGAGGCCAGUAUGACCAGAUGCAAUUACAGAGCUCAAGCGACAUUGAGCCCCUCAAUCAUUCAUCACAUACAGCACAGAGUGGAUCUUCCUUAACAUCUUCCCAAGAUCCAUAAAAUGUCUCUACCUUGCCUCGUAUUAAUUCAGUCAUGGUGAGAAUUUUUAUUUUGUCAGUGCUCUACUUAUUGUUGGAAGUUGUUACUUCAUUUUGAUGAUCCAUUUUAAUUCGAAAUACAAAGAAAAGUACUUCCAAAUUGCUUAUCAAACAUUAUAUUAUUCAGCCUUCUUGUUAUGCAUUCCAAGUUUUUACUUCAUUUUGUCAUCAAGUGACAUUUUGUAUUGAAUUUAACAAAUUUUAAAAAUAAUUUAGAACUAAAAAAAAUCUAAUCAUUAAAAAAAUAAUAUAUCAAAAUUAAUAUAUUAUGAGUUAUGAUUUUACUAUUUUUUUUAUAUACAUAAAUAUAUUUUUUGAAUUUAAGUCAAUAAAUUAUAAAUUAGAUAAGAUAUAAUUAAUAAUUUAAAUUAUUUAAUGAUUUUUUAAUUUUAAAGGAUAAUUUUGAAUUAAAAAAACUUAUCUAAUUAAUUAUUUUAAAAUAUUAUGUUUGUAAUUCGCUAAAUGCGUGCAUGCAUUUACAUAUUACAAAAGUGAAACUUUAUUUAUUAUUCAUUAUAAAUAAAAUAUUGUUAAAAAUUAUUAUUUUAAAUUAUUAUUAUUCGUUUUUAACAAGAAAAAAAAUGCUAAUAACUUUAUGUUUAUGAUAUAUACUAGAACAAUAUUUUUGUAUAAAAAAAUAUAAUUUAUGAUUUUAAUAAUAUUAUUAUUCAUAUUUUAUUAAAAAUUAUUUAUUUUUUAAUUUAUUUGUAAUUACAAAACUAUCUUCAUUUUUUUUAAUAAUAUUUGAAUUAAAUUAAAAUUAUAUUAUAUAAAUUGAAUUUAUAAUGAUUUUAUAAAAUCAAAAUAAUAAAAAAUAUUUUUAAAAACAAUUUAUUCAAUCAAGUUUCUUUGUUAUUUAUUUAAAAAAAUAAUUUGUCAAACACUCUUGUUUUUUAUAGAAUACUAUCAAAUUAUUUUUUAUUCUUUAAUUUAAAAACAGUUUUAAAAAAUUAUGAACAAAUAGACUUAAAUUAUUGGCAUAAAAGGCUUGUUUUUAAGAUUAAAAGAUAGAUUUCUGUUUUAGAAAAUAAAAAAGUUGUUUUUGAGAAAGUAUUUUAUUCAAACUUUUAUUUUUUAUUUGAUUGUGGAGGGUAAAAUAGAGAGUUGAAAAGAAAAAUAUUUUUAUAAUUAUUACAUGUUCGAAUUGUUAAAAUGUUUUUCUAAAUAAUAAGUGUUUUCAUUUUUUUUUCUAAAGGUUGUUUGUAAGGCUGUUGUACAUAUUCAAAUAAUUCAAUAAAGAUCACGACACAUCUUGGCUUAACAGUUGAACUGACUGACAAUAUUAACGUAUAAAACCAGUUCAAGAAUACGAUUGGCUUCAAAAGUGAGAAAAUGUUAGAGCUGGCAAUAUCAACGGGUGAAACCAGUUCAAGGUCUCUUAGCUCUCACGAUACGUGUGAGCUUAACGGCAUCUAAAGUGAGGUAUACUGAGCUGGCAAUAUCAACGGGUGAAACACAGGUCCCUCAGCUCUCACGAUACGUGUGAGCUUAACGGCAUCUAAAGUGCGGUAUGCUGUAUGCUGAGCUGGCAAUGUCAACAGUAAAACAGCAAUUCAAGAACACAGCUCGCUUCACAAGUGAGAGAAUGCUGAGCUGGCAAUGUCAAUGUAUAAAAGCUGUUCAAGGACACAACACUCCACUCAGAGUUCUCGUUCUCAACCCCUCUCUCUUUCUCUCUAUAAGCUUUUCUCUCUUAAAGCUUCCUCAGAGGUAAGUUCAAAACCCUUGUUCUCUAGAGUUUCAAUUACUUUCCUUACUCUGUUUUUUCAACGAACGAAAUCUCCCUGAAAAACUGAUUAUUGAUUCUUGAAAACCUUUUUUUUAUUGUUUUUUUCCUAAAUAAAAGAUUUUUUUCGUAUACGUUGUUCUUUUUUUUCAAGAUUUUCCUUGCUUUUAUUUUCACGAGUUUUCUGGGCAUCCAAACAGAUGUUUUUUAGAUUUGAUAGCUUUUUCAUAUACGUUGUUAUUUUUUUAUUUUUUCGAGAUUUUCCAUUCUCUUUCUUUUCAUGAGUUUUCUCGGCAUCCAAACAGAUGUUGUUAUAUGUUUCCUUUGUGAUAUCUCUAUUUUCUUUAGAUUCUCCUAGGGAAAAGAUAUGCUUAUGUUACUCUGCUUCUUGAAAUGAUGAAACGACGUCUACGAUUAUUUCUCAUUGUAAUUAUGUUCUCCACAUUCAUCACUUUGCAAGCUUCGGCUAUCGCAUAUCCACGAGAUUGCAUCUCCACUUUUUGGGUAUUGAUUUUUUUUUCAUCUUUCGAUUUUAUUUUUUUAUUUUUUUUAUUGUUGGGAGAUUGAUUCUUGACUGUUAAAAAAAUAAUUUAACCAGUUUCAGCUUUUACGGAUCACAAGAAGGGUACUAGUUCUUGUAAUCUUGAUUUUUUCCUUGUCAUUUUUUUUUAAUUUCUCUAGAAAAUUGAGAUAAUUUGCACUACAUGGUGAUUACCAGUUAUUGUAAUGCUUCAUUCCAAUUGUUUGGUCUCCAAGAAAAUUUCUGGAAUCUUAGAAAGCGAAACCUCCACCUAAUUGGACCCAACGUUUGGUUGAGUUUAGUUUUUGAUCCCUCCAAAACAAGAUUAGCAUAGAUAACAUGGUUCUGAAUUGAAUUUUUUUUCCACUCCAAGAGUAACAUAGAUAAUAUGGUUCUUAAUUGAAUUUUUUUUCGCUUUUUCUUUUCCUUAGUUUUCUUUGCCAGCAAAGAUCUCCAUGUUCUUUUCUCGAGGGAAAAUAACAGAAUGGUUUUCUCUCCAAAUGAGGUAAUGCUGAGAUCUUCUAUGUAGCUAUGAAUGGGGCUUACAUAAUAUUGUGGGCAAUCAUAGUGGGGUCCACCAAAAUGGAUGAAUGCCCAAAAGUGAUCGAGUGCUACAUUGGAUCAAAAAUAAAAAUGACUAAUCAAUAGACUAAUAAUCCGAAAAAACAUAAGUGAUUCUCUUCUUUUCACUUUCUGCAGUGGCAACUCUUCAAGACUUGUACAAGGAACUGAAGUUACUGAACUACCCACUAUAGUUGGAGAAGUGGAGAUCAUAUGUUGGGGUCCAUGUGAUGAAUCAUGGAAAGGAGUCUCAUGUUCUAAGUCCAUUAUUAUUUUCAUGUAAUGUAACAUAGGUCCUUUUUAACUAUGUGCCCAAUUUAGAUGAUAUGUGGAAACCACAUGUUCUCUUAUCUCUGCAGUCAGCUUCCAAGACUAAACCUUGGUGGACAUAGGAGGCCUGCUCCAUAAAUUAUUUUUUUUUUGAUAGGUAUUGAAUGCCAACUCCAUAAUCUCCAUAAUUUGAAGCAACUGUAAGAGAUUAUGUUGAUUUAAAUUUAGGUUUAUGUUUUGCUUAUGUGGGUUUUAUUCACUAAUUAUUUUUUCAAUUUGUGCUUUCUAUUAAGAUGUUGGCUUCAAUAACAUUCAGGGUGAAAUUCCAUAUGGGUUACUCCCUAAUGCCACUAAUAUAUGAGAUGCUUGAAUAUAAGUUUCUAUUAGAUUUCCUAAUGAUUUAUGUAAUUUAUUUGUGAUUUCUUUUCUAUGAAUGCAAAAAUUUUGGCACGCAACAAAUUUAGUCAAAAUAUUCCCCACUCCCUCAUUUUAUUGAAAAAUCUUUGACAUCUGUUAAUUGUCCUAGUACUGCCCAUUUUAAUGGUUACUAUAGUUGGUUUACACUAAUAACUCAUAAAUGACAAUUAUAUAUUUACUGGCCUGCAGAAUCUAAAAGGAAGCAAGACAGUUAUAUUAUUGAGUGUUUCGUGGUCGUAGUGGGUUUUCUUGGAGAUUAUGACACAAUGAUAAGCCUUCUUUAUAUGGAUGUCUUGUGUGUUAAUAUUCUGUUGUGGAUGGAGUUGAAAUUAAUUGGUAGUUGCUUGUAUAAUUUUAUUACUCAUUAAGAAAUCAUAAUUUUUAAUACUUAAACAAAAAAAAAAAUCAUAAGACAUAUAAUUUAGCCUCUUCUGUUAGUUUGUUCUAUCAGCAAAAUUUAUAUGCUUUGGAAAUUGCACCAUAUUUGGAUUUGUUGUCCCAAGUAUCUAUCAUGCAUUCACUUUAUUGGGUCUGUGAUCUUCUUGCUGGUCUAUAGGGUCCUUCAUUGCAAUCUUUCUCAUCACUUGGUGUUAUCUGUUCUUUUAUCAAAAGACUUGUUUCUUUCUUACCAGGAACAUCCAUGGUAACCAUUCUAGUGGCAUCAUCCCAAGACAAUUUCAGUCAACACCAAAUUUAUGGUUAGUGAUCAUAGCCUGAGUAACGUUGUUACUUUUAAUCUGCAUACACUACCAUAUCAGAUUAUGCUUUGAUAAUUUUUUGUCUUUAUCUCUUAUUAGGUUUUGGGGGAAUAGGCUCCAUCCAGGAGGCAACUUAUUCACCUUAGGAUUUCCCUUUGGAAACUGAGUAGAAUAUUAAUAGCCCACCAACAAUUGAAUCAAGUGUUGUUAAGGACUACCCUUUCAGGAAAGCUCUUGAGCACCAGAAAAAAAAAAAAAAAAAAAACUGGGUCCUGAAGGAAUAACCUCAUAGUUGAUGGAAGAAUUCUGAUGGUAAGUUGCACGGUGCUCCUACUUGUUCACAUUUAAUUGAGCUUGUGCACAAAAUCACAAAAGCUUGGAGAGUAGUGAAAGUCCAUGGUAUUAUCUUCCAACUACUACAAUCAAAGGAAAAAUUUUAUUAGCCCAUGUCUAUGCUUAUUGAUGAUCUAUAGUAAUAUAUCAGCUAUGGAUUGUUACCUUCCUGAUUACCUUCCUUCCUGGUUAUUCAAUGGUCUUUGACUGCAGCAGAUGAAAGCCCACAAUUCCUUGCUCUUAGUCCUCCACUGAUGUUUAUGUCAAGGCAGAUUCCCACUACUUGUCAUGUUAGAUUUGAGAAAAUUUCUUCCAAGAGAAGUUUCUUCCAGAAUCCCAACAAAUGCAAAACACAGUAUAGCAAAGGUUCAAUAAGCUAGAAACAACAAUUCUUUGGAGUUUCCCCCAAAAGUAUCAGGUUAUUAUGUAAACAUGGACCAUGUUGCCCUCCUUACUCCUGAGUUUACAACUUCGAUUGUUGUUGCAGGCAUGAUUGCAAACACUAGUACCUAACCAUGCCAGCUUCAUCCAUGUGACUUCAGUUCUUUGGGGUUCCUUACUAUAUAGUCUAUUUUGAUCUUCAAAGUUUAUGAGUGACAAAUUAUGAAUCUCAAAAAAGCUUCAUUUAGCCAAAUCCAUACAAUGACAUGAUGGUUGUAGAAUUAUACGUUUUAGAGUUGAAAACUUUGUGGUUAGAUACUUUUUUUUUUUUUUUUUUUCAGAAAGACAAAGUUGUUAUAUUUAUUUAAUCAAAGCAGUAAAAAAAACUAAAGAACACAUUGAGAUGGCAAAAAUUGGAGCAAACAUAGGUUCCUUGGUUAUGAUUUGGGUCCUGUUCUACAAAUAACUUCUUAUGAGUUAAAUUUAACCAAGAAAUCAGUGUGUCAUUUUGUAUCUAAAUAGGAGAUGAGUAGAAUAGUUUCUGGUAAUCAUUCCAUGUUUGAUCAUCAUCAUAUCUCCUAAUAAAAUAUUACAUGAUGAUUCUGAUCUUAUCUAAUAUUUUACCUAUAUAAUUGCAAGUUAACCAGAUUGUUCCGGUGACUGAAUCCAUUUGUGCUGCACUAGACUCUAAAGCUGCAGGAUUGUGUAUGAUAGUCAGCCAUUGGAGUGGUGAAUCAGAGGAUAACUUCAUAGAUGAUCUUUCUGUUGGCUUGGCAAAUGGACAGGUUCUAUCAGUUGAACUCCUUAAGCUCUGUUAUGUGUUCUGCUUUUUUUUAUUGCUGCUAGAAAGAAACUAUUGUAUAUCAUGUCAUAUAGACCAAAACUAUUGUAUAUCUACGAGAUUGCAUCUCCACUUUUUGGUUCUUGAUUUUCUUGUAUCUUUUCAUUGUUUUUCCUUUUUAUUUUUGUUGUUGGGUGAUUGAUUAUUGAGUAUUAAAAAAAUAAUUUAACCAGUUUCAACUUUUGCGGAUCACAAAAAUGGUACUAGUUCUUGUUGUCUUGAUUUUUUCCUUGUCAUUUUUUUUUUAUAAAAAAAUUCUCUAGAAAAUUGAGAUAAUUUGCACUAUAUGGCGAUUACAAUUUAUUGUAAUGCUUCGUUCCAAUUGUUUGGUCUCCAAGAAAAUUUCUAGAAUUGUAGAAAGUGAAACCUCCACCUAAUUGGACCUAACGUUUGGUGGAGUUUAUUUUUUCACUAUUUCCUUUCCUUAGUUUUCUUUGUCAGCAAAGAACCCUAUGUUCUUUUUUUGGUUUUUUUAGGGAAAAUAACGUAAUGGUUUUCUCUCCAAAUUAGGUAUUGCUAAGAUCUUUUAUGUAGCUACAGUAUGAAUGGGACUUACAUAAUAUCGUGGGCAAUCAUAGUGCGGUCCACCAAAAUGGAUGAAUGCCCAAGAUUGGUCGAGUGCUACAUUGGAUCAAAAAUAAAAAUGACUAAUUAAUGGGCUGAUAAUCCGAAAAAACUUAAGUGAUUCCCUUCUUUUCACUUUCUAUAGUGGAAACUCUUCAAGACUUGUACAAGGAAAGGAAGUUAUUAAACUACCCACCACAGUUGGAGAAGUGGAGAUCAUAUGCUGGCGUCCAUGUGAUGAAUCAUGGAAAUGAGUCCCAUGUUUUGAGUCUACUAAUGUAACAUAGGUCCUUUUUAACCAUAUGCCUAAUUUAGAUGAUAUGUGGAAACCACAUGUUCUCUCAUCUCUACAGCCAGCUAGCUUCCAAGACUAAACCUUAGUGGACAUUUUAUUGGAGGCCAACUCCAUAAUUUUUUUUUGUUUUUUUUUAUAGGUAUUGGAGGCCAGCUCCAUUAUCUCCAUGAUUUGAAGCAACUAUAAGAGAUUAUGUUGAUUUAAAUUUAGGUUUAUGUAAAAUUAUGUGGAUUUUAUUCACCAACUGUUUUUUCAAUUUGUGCUUUCUAUUAGGAUGUUGGCUUCAAUAACAUUUAGGGUAAAAUUCCAUAUAGGUUACUCCCUAAUGUCAUUGAUAUAUCAAAUUCUUGAUUAUAAGUUUCUAUUAGAAUUUGCACUAGGGUCGGAUGGCUUCUCAAUGGCCUUUUGGCAGUUUGCGUGGGACUUUGUGAAGGAGGAAGUUAUGAAUUUGUUUAGACAGUUUCAUGAGACGGGGAGAUUUGUAAGAAGCUUGAAUGCAACUUUCUUAGUUUUGAUUCCUAAGAAAGGGGGGACUGAGGACUUGAAGGACUUGAAGGACUUUAGGCCAAUAAGUUUGGUGGGAGGGCUUUACAUAUGGUUGGCUAAGGUGUUGGCUAACAGGUUAAAAGGAGUGUUAGCCAAAGUGAUAUCUUUGUCUCAAAAUGCUUUUGUGGAGGGGCGGCAGAUUAUGGACGUAGUUCUGAUCACAAAUGAGGCUAUAGAUUCAAUUCUGAAAAGUAAUAAUGGGGCAAUUUUAUGCAAAUUAGAUAUCGAGAAAGCCUAUGAUCAUGUGGAUUGGUCAUUUCUAUUAGCGGUGUUGGGGAAAAUGGGAUUUGGAGGAAGGUGGUGUAGUUGGAUAAAGUGGUGUUUAUCCACAGUCAGUUUUUUGGUCUUGGUGAAUGGCAGUCCAACGGGUUUUUUCCAGGGCUCAAGGGGCUUAAGGAAAGGAGACCCCCAUUCGCCUUAUCUAUUCAUAAUAGUGAUGGAGGCUUUUAGCUGUUUGAUGAAAAGAGCAGUUGCUGGAGGUUUUUUUACGCCAUGUAUUGUGCGGGGAAGAAGGGGUGAAGGGGUCCAAAUUACACAUUUAUUGUUUGUUGAUGACAUGUUGGUGUUUUGUGAAGCUAAAGAGGAUCAGUUGACUCACUUGUGCUGGUUGUUAAUGUGGUUUGAGGCUUUGUCGGGGUUAAAAGUGAAUAUGGAUGAAAGUGAAUUGAUCCCAGUUGGUAUAGUUGAAAAUACGGGAGAGUUAGCGGAUGAAUAUGGAUAUAAAGUGGGAAAUUUGUCAUCCACCUAUUUAGGAAUGCCUUUGGGUGCCCCUUUCAAAUCUAUCGGUGUAUGGGAUGGAAUAGAGGAAAGAUUCAGAAAGAGAUUGGCUAUAUGGAAGCGUCAAUACAUCUCAAAAGGAGGAAUGAUUACUUUAAUUCGGAGUACUUUGUCCAACCUUCCGAUCUAUUUUAUGUCCAUCUUCCACUUACCUAGAGCGGUUAGGAUGAGGUUGGAAAAAAUACGAAGGGAUUUUCUGUGGGGAGGUGGCUCUCUUGAGCAAAAACCUCACAUAGUAAGGUGGCCGAUUGUGUGUGAAAACAAAAGUAAAGGAGGCUUGGGGGUUAAGAGCCUUGGUUUGUUCAAUAAGGCUCUCUUGGGCAAAUGGUCUUGGCGCUUUGCUAACGAAAAAAAGGCCCUUUGGAAUCAGGUGAUCAGAAAGAAGUACGGGAAGGAAAUUGGAGGAUGGAGAUCUUGUGAGAUAAGGGAGGUUUACGGAGUUGGUUUGUGGAAAGCUAUAAAUAAGGUGGGACAGCUUGUAACCCCUUUUUUUGGCUUUGAGGUGGGGGAUGGUAAGAAUGUGAGGUUUUGGAAAGAUAAGUGGUGUGGUACCAGCCCUUUAAGUGAGACUUUCCCUUCACUUUUUGCAUUAGCAACGUCAAAAGAGGCUUGGGUAAAUGAAGUUUGGACAGCCGCGAGCGAUAGGAGGGGAAGUUGGACUCCUACUUUCAAUAGGUUGUUUAAUGAUUGGGAGAUGGAAGAAGUAGGAAGGUUACUUUGUUAUUUGGAAGGAAAGAUGGUGAGGGUGGAUGAAGAGGACAGAGUGAGUUGGGUGAAUUCAAAGGACGAGGUUUUUUCGGUAAAGUCCUUGUAUAAGACAAUGCAAUCGACUUAUUCAGCUUUGUUCCCUUCAAAGAUUAUUUGGAGAUCAUGUGCUCAGCCCAAGAUUAGCUUCUUUGUGUGGGAGGCUUCGUGAGGUAGAGUUUUGACUCUAGAUCGGUUGCAAAAGAGGGGUUGGGUUUUGGCAAAUAGGUGUUUUCUUUGUCAAAAGUGUGAGGAGUCGAUUGACCACCUUCUCCUUCAUUGCAAAAAAACAAGGGAGGUGUGGACUUUGUUCCUCUCUUUCGUUGGAGUUUCUUGGGUUUUUUCGCCUUUGGUGAAGGAAACUCUCAUAGGUUGGAGAGGCUCCUUUGUGGGCAAGAAAAGGAAGGUGGCAUGGCUUUUGGGGCCGUUAUGCUUGUUUUGGGUUAUUUGGAAGACUAGGAAUUCAAUUGCUUUUGAGGACGGGGUGUGUUGUCCAUCCAAAAGCUGAAAAGUUCUUUUGUGUAUUUACUUUGGUCGGAAACUAAAUUGUGGAUAAAAGAUGGGCCUUCGACCUUAAUAGAUUUUAUUGAAUGGGUGUGUAUGCGUUAAGGAAGAGGGUUUUUUUUUUUAGCUCUCUUAGUGGUUUGGGUUCUUUUGUAAGGGGGUGAGUUGUUCUUCUCUGUAUCUAUUUGAGUCGCUUCUUUAGCGCCUCUUUUGCAAUAUACAUAUUUUCUUACUGAUAAAAAAAAAAAAGUUUCUAUUAGAAUUCCUAAUGAUUUAUUUAAUUUAUUUGUGAUUUCAUUUUCCACAAAUGCAAAAAUUUGUCAUGCAAAAAAUUUAGUCAAAAUAUUCCUCACUCCCUCAUUUUACUGAAAAAUCUUUGACUUCUGUUAAUUGUUUGUCCUAGUACCGUCUAUUUUAGCAAUUACUAUAGUUGGUUUACACUAAUGACUCAUAAAUGACAAUUAUAUAUUUAUUGGCCAAUAGAAUCUAAAAGGAAGCAAGACAGUUAUAUUAUUGGGUGUUAUGUGGUGGUAGUGGGUUUUCUUGGAGAUUAUGACACAAUAAUAAGCCUUCUUUAUAUGGAUGUCUUGUGUGUUAAUAUUCUGUGUGAAUGAAAUUGAAAUUAUUUGGCAGUUCCUUGUAUAAUUUUAUUGCUCGUUAAGAAUUUAGCCUCUAAAGCUGCACUAGACUCUAAAGCUGCAGGAUUGUGUGUGUUAGUCAGCCAUUGGAGUGGUGAAUUAGAGGAUAACUUCAUAGAUGAUCUUUCUGUUGGCUUGGCAAGUGGACAGGUUCUAUCAAGCUGAACUCCUUAAGCUCUGUUAUGUGUUCUGCUUUUUUUAUUGCUACUAGAAAGAAACUAUUGUAUAUCAUGUCAUAUAGACCAAAAUGAUGCCUUUUGUUUAAGUGAGUGGUUUGCCAAGUAUAAUCAGGUAUAAAUGGAAUUUUAUUUGUGAUUUCAUUUUCUAAGAAUGCAGAAAUUUGGCAUGCAACAAAUUUAGUCAAGAUGUUCCCCACUCCCUCACUUUAAGGAAAAAUCUUCAACAUCUGUUAAUUGUUUGUCUUGAUGCUGCCUUUUUCUAUUGGUUACUAUGGUUAGUUUAUAUUAGUGACUCAUAAAUGAUAAUUAUAUUCUUACAGGAAUCUGAGCCACAAUUCAUUAUCUGGGCCCAUUGGCAAUGUGUUUAUUGGCCAACAAAAUCUAAAAGAAAUGUGUAUUUAUCGGCUUAUAGAAUCUAAAAGGAAGCAAGGCACAAUGAUAAGCCUUGGGUGUUACCUAGUGGUAGUGGGACUUUACAAGAUUGUGAUCUUCUUGGCUAGUUUGUAGGUCCCUUCAUAGCAACCUUUCUAUCACUUGGUGUUAUAUAUUUCUCUUAUCAAACAACUUGUUUCUUUCUUACCAGGGACAUCCAUGGUAACCAAUUUAUUGGCAUCAUUGCAAGACAAUUUCAGUCAAUACCAAAUUUAUGGUUUGUCAUAAUAGCCUGAGUAAAGUUGUUGCUUUUAAUUUGUGUACACUAUCAUAUUGAGUUGUGUUUUGAUAACUUUUUAUCUUUAUCUCUUAUUAGGAUUUGGGGGAAUAGGUUCCAUCCUGGAAACAACUUAUUCACCUUAGGAUUUCCCUUUAGAAACUGAGCAGAAUAUUUAUAGCCUACCAACAAUUGAAUCAAGCGUUGUUGAGAACUACCCCUUUAGGAAAGUACAUGAACACAAGAAGAAAAGCCUGGGUUCUGGAGGAAUAGCUCUUAUGGUUGGUGGAGGAAUUCUGUUGGUAAGCUGUGUGGUGCUCCUACUUGUUGUCUGCAUUAAUUGAGCUCAUGCACAAAAUCACAAAAGCUUGGAGAGCUAUGAAAGUCCAUGGUAUUAUCUUUUAACUACUAUAAUUGAAGGUGAAAUUUAAUUUGCUUAUGUACAUACUUAUGAUGAUCUAUAGUACUGUUAUAUAUCAGCUAUGGAUUAUUACCUUCCUUCCUAGUCAUUCAACGGUCUUCGAUUGCAGCAGAAGAGAGGCCACAGUCCCUUGCUCUCGAUCCUACAUUGAGGUUUAUGUCAAGGCGGAUUCCCACUGCUUGCCAUGUCAAAUUUAAGAAAAUUUCUUUAAAAAAUGUUCCUCCAAGAAACCAGAAUCCCAACAAAUGCAAAAUGUACACUAUGGUAGAGGUUCAAUUGGCUAGAAACAACAAUCAUCUUCUUUGGAGGUUCCUUUAAACAAUCAUGCUAUUCUGUCAACAUGGAUGAUGUUGUCCUUAGUUUACAACAUUGAUAGGUGUUGUAAGCAUGAUUGCAAAAACUAGUACCUAACCAUGCUAGCUUCAUCCAUGUGACUUCACAAUUCUUUAGGGUUCUUUAUUAUAUUAUCUAUUUUGAUCUCCAUAGUUUAUGAGUGAAUGAAUUAUGAAUCUAAAAAAAGCUUCAUUUGGGCAAAUCUAUACAAUGACGUGGUGGUUCUAGAAUUAUACCUUCUAGAGUUGAAGAUUUUUAGUAGUUACAUUUUUUUUAUGAGAAAGAUUGUUAGUAGUUAUAUUUAUUUAAUCAAAGCAAUAAAAAAGCUAAAGAACACAUUGAGAUGGCAAAAAUUAGAGGAAGUACAGGUUCUUUGGUUGUGAUUUGGGUCCUGUACGACAAAUAACUUCCUAUGAGUUAAAUCACCAAGAAAUUAGUGUGUCAUUUAUGUCUAAAGGGGAGAUGAGCUGUAUAACAAUAGUUGUUGGCAAUUGUUCUAUGGCUGAUCAUCAUCAUAGUUCAUUAGGAAAUAUUGCAUGUUGAUUAUGAUCUUAUCUAAUAUUUACCCAUAUAAUUGUAGGUUAACCAUAUUGGCACAGCGAUUGAAUCCAUUUGAGCUACCUCUAAAACUGCAGGAUUGGGUAUGAUAUCAACCACCAAAGUGGUGAAUUAGAAGAGAGUCAACCACCAGAGUGGUGAAUUAGAAGAUAACUUCAUAGCUGAUCUUUCUGUUGACUUGGUAAGUGAACGUGUUCUAUCAUAUGAGCUCCUUAAGCUCUGUUAUGUGUUCUGCAUUCUUUUGUUGUUGCUUGAAAAAAACCAUUGUAAAUCAUGUCAUAUAGACCAAAAUGGUGCCCUUUGCUGAAGCAAGCAGUUUGUCAAUCAUAAUCAGGUAUAAAUGGAAUAUUAUGUCUCUCUGAUGCCUUCAUUGCCUAACAUAUGGAAUUUUUUUUUUCAUUAUAGGAUAAAAUAUACAUAUUUCAAGGACCUUUUUUGCCAUAGCCAACUUAGUAGCUAGGGUUAGUUUAAUGUUGUUGUAUGCAUUUGGAAAAUGGCAUACUUUAAUCAUCAGUCUAUUAUGUCUAGAUAAUUCAGCUAAGCUAUUUAGAGCCCUAAUUCAGAAGUUGACCUGGUUGGGUAUUCCUAAACAUCCUGUUGUUUAGUUAUUUGAGUGACUAGGAUAAUCUGAUCGGACAGUAUCUAGCUCAAGAUCGCAACUCUCAGCUUGAUGUUUUGGUUUUUCAAACAUGUUUAGUUACUGUAGGAUUCAUGGUAGAGAAGCUAAUGGAUAUUUAUUAAUAAAAAAAUAAUGAAAGUGCAAGAAAAAUCUUUCAGAAUUUCCAGUAUUUUGUCUUUCAAUCAAUUUUGAUUUGUUGCAUAUUGGUCUUUUUUUUUUUAUAUAAUCAUCCUUGGUUAUGAUUAGAUACCUCCCUAUUGUUUUCCAUUCAAUUUGCUACAACAGCUGCAUUGAAGAGGACCUUCUUGGAGAAGGAUUCCUUGGUUCUGUCUACAAAGCAGAGUUUCCUAAUGGACCUGAACUGAACAUGCAUUUGCAAGCUUCUUCUAUUUCAAACAUUAUUAUACUUACUAUUGUUUUCCAUUAAAUUUGCUAAAACAGCUACAAUGAAGAGAACCUUCUUGGAGAAGGAUUCCUUGGUUCUGUUUACAAAGCAAAGUUUCCUAAUGGCCAAGUACUACCUGAACUGCAUAUGCAUUUGCAAGCUUCUUCUACCUGAACUGAAUAUGCAUUUGCAAGCUUCUUCUAUUUCAAACAUUAUGAUUAUUAUUAAUAAUAAUCAUUAUGAUCAUCAUCAUCAUUGUUUUAUGACCUAAUCUUUGGAAAACAUACUCUUGUGCCUCUCUAGUGGCAUGGUUUGUGUAGAUUUUUUAAGCUUUUUGAUAGUAUGGUUAGUUCACUUCUUGAAUCUAAGAAUGACGUUUAUUUUCUUUUUCUUUUGUUUUAAAUUGUACAAUAGGAAAUUUGGGUAUUAUGCCUCCGCUAUGUGCCAACCAUCUUAAGAAGUGUAGUAAGCCAAAAAUCCCCAAAAAGGUAAGUUCGAUCUAUGCAUUCAAUGUUGUUCUUAUAUAUUUUUUUCUCAUAUAAUCAAUGAUUAUGAUCAUCUCCGUAAUCAUUACCAUCAUCCUUCUUGUCAUUGUUGUCAUUUAAGCUGUCUUUUUUCAUUUUCUUCAUUCAUUUUCUAAAUUAUCAUUCGAAUGAUAGGUUUUGAGACCCUUAUAUGGUGAAUAGUCUUAAUUCUCAAAUCUAAAAAUUACAUUUCUUAAUUAUUUUUCUUCUUUUUCUAUUUCUAAUGCUUUUUCUUUCUAAUCUAAAAGCCUUCUCUAGUGUACCUAUUGACUUCCUUUGUGGUCUUAGAUGCUAUGAAAUGAUGUCGUUAACAUAAAGACUUAUUGAAUUAGUUCAAUCUUAACUCAUGGAAUUGGUACUACACCAUUGCAAAACAAGUUUUCUUUACAUAUCCAAGGAUUUUAUUCUUAGUUAUUUUCAUUUUCUUUCAUUUAUUUUCUGAAUUAAGAAUAUAAAAAACUCACAUCAAUACCUUUACUAGCGAGUCUUAUCCAAAUUUUUUACGAUCUUAUGAAGUAUGAUUUGAAGAGAGUGCCUUAAAGAGCUAAGUUCGGUAUACAUAUCCAAUCUUAUUCUUUUUCUCAUACUUUUUCCUUACCGUCAUGAUUAUUACCGUUAUUAUUAUCAUUAUAUAUAAUUAUUAUCAUCAACAUGAUUAUCAUAAUCAUUAUCAUUAUCAUUGUUAGCACUUCUAGUAGUCUUUUUAUCUAUUUUCUUCAUUCAUUUUCUCCAAUUUAAUAUUUGAGAGGUAUUUGUGGGUACUUUGAUAGGAACCAUUUGUGUAGGUUUUGAGAGUUUUGUGUUGUUGGGACAAAAACCUUGAACAAAUAAGUUUAGUUAUUAAAUCAAAGAAUUGUAUUUCUUAAAUUUCUUCUUUUUUACAUUUCUGACUUUAAAGUAGGAAAGUCUUGUCAUGUGCCUUUACCCAUAUUCCUCAUGGGGGUGUUUGAAGCUCUAAUGUGGUCUAGCAAAAACACAAAGUUCAUGUAUAUAAAGGUAAGUCCCCCAAUUAAACUAUUUUAUUCUUAUUCUUGUUUUCUUUUAACUAUCAUUAUUAUAAUCAUUAGUUAUCAUCUUCAUUCCCGUUUUGUAAGCUCCUUCUAUUUCAAAAUUAUUAUUAUUACUAUAUUGUUUUCUUACUUAAUCUUUGGAAAGCAUGCCCUUGUGCCUCUACGGUAUGCUUUAUGUAUAUUUUUAAAACUUUUUGAUAGUAUGGUAGGAAUAAAGCCUUGAAGAGAUAAGUUCAAUUCUUGAAUCUAAUAAUGUCAUUUCAUUUUCAUUUGCUUUUGUUUUUAAUUGUAUAAAUAGGAAAUUCGGGUGUUGUAACUCCACUGUGUGCCUUAUAUAGGUGUUUAAAGCUAUAAGAAGGUUUUUGAGAAUGGAAAGUUUAUAUAUAAGUUAAAGACCUUUUGAAUUAUAAUAUUUUAUUCUUAUUUAUAUUUUUAUCACUGUUAUUACUAUUAUUAUGAUUAUUCUUGUUGUUGUUAUUAUUAUUAUUAUUAUUAUUUUUGUUAUUGUUGUUCUUUUUUUUUUCUUGUUAUUAUUAUUAUUGUUUUUGUUUUUGUUCUUAUUGUUAUUGUUGUUCUUGACCUUGUUCUUCUUGUUGUUGUUCUUAUUAUUAUUAUUGUUGUUGUUGUUGUUGUUAUUCUUUUUCUUCUUCUUAUUAUUAUUGUUGUUGUUGUUUUUCUUGCUUUUGUUGUUGUUGUUUUCGUGUUGUUGUUGUUGUUAUUGUUGUUUUUUUUUUCUUCUUAUCAAUUGACUUUUUUUAACUUCUUGUUGUUCUUAAUUGACUUUUUUUAUUUUCUCAAUUGAUCUUAAGAUCUUCUUCUUCUUUUGACUUUUUUUCAUUUUCUCAAUUGAUCAUAAGAUAACUUUUUUCAUUUUCUCAAUUGACUAUAAGAUCUUCUUCUCAAUUGACUUUUUCAUUUGUUGUUGUUGUUCUCAAUUUACUUUUUUCAUUUUCUCAAUUGACUAUAAAAUGUGUGCAUUUUUUUUUUUUCUUUUUUCAUUUCCUCAAUUGACCAUAAGAAUCUUAUUCUUCUUAUUAUUUUUCUUAUUUUUAACUUUUUUCAUUUUCUCAAUUGACGAUAAGAUAAUGUGUACAUUAAUCUUAUUCGUCUAAUUUUUUUCAUUUUCUCAAUUGACCAUAAGAUCUUCUUCUUCUUCUUCUUUAUUUUUUUUUUUCAUUUUCUCAAUUAACCAUAAGAUAACUUUUUUCAUUUUCUCAAUUGACCAUAAGAUCUUCUUCUUCUUCUUCUUUAUUUUUUUUUUUUUCAUUUUCUCAAUUAACCAUAAGAUAACUUUUUUCAUUUUCUCAAUUGACUAUAAGAUCUUUUUCUUCUCAAUUGACUUUUUUUUCAUUUAUUGUUGUUAUUAUUGUUCUCAAUUUACUUUUUUCAUUUUCUCAAUUGACCAUAAAAUAAUGUGUGCAUUUUUUUUUUUCAUUUCCUCAAUUGACCAUAAGAAUCUUCUUAUUCUUAUUUUUUUUUUCUUUUUAACUUUUUUCAUUUUCUCAAUUGACCAUAAAAAUGUGUGUGUUUUUCUUCUUCAUUUUCUCAAUUUACUUUUUUCAUUUUCUCAAUCGACUUUUUUCAUUUUCUCAAUUGACUUUUUCUUCUUCUCAAUUGAUUUUUUUCAUUUUCUCAAUUGACCAUAAGAAUGUGUGCAUUGAUUUUUUUUUCUUCUUUAUUUUCUCAAUUGACUUUUUUUAUUUUUAUUUUUUGCAGCUAGUCAACAAUCUUAAGCAACAUGGUAAGCAAAUUUGAUAUCCAUGUCAAAUCUUAUUUUAUUGUACUCUCUCAACUUUUCCUCAUCACCAUUGUCCUCAUCCUCUUUAUCAUCAACAUCACCACCAUUUAAUGACUUAACAUUUAAGGAGCAUGUUGUGAUGCCCCUAACAUGCUUUGUACAGGAUUUUGGAUUUUUGUAAUGGUAUGAUGCAAAAAAAAUACCUUCAACAAAUAGAUAGUCCUCAUAUUUAAUAAUUUUAUUUCUUAUUUAUCUUUCUUCUAUUUUUUAUUGUCUUAAAAAAAUCAAGUUGUUUGCCUUAUACAAGUACAGGUGUUUAAAGCUCUUCGGUGGCAUAGUUAUCAUAACGUUAAUGAAUAAAUAGGUUUCUUCCUUUAAUCAAUAUGUUAUCUUCUUAUUCUUAUUAUUAUAUUUAUAAUUAUUUUUAUGUUCUCUUCAUUAUCUUUCAUGCUUGACUAUUAGAAAACUUGUUUUUAGUGCAAACAUUUGAAUGUUAUACAUGGGUUUUGAAAACUCUCCAAUGGUACUUACACAAAUACAUCCAUUACAUCCAUUAAAUUUAUUUAUGUGGGUAUUUGAUGCUAUCAAAUUAUAUUGUUAGCUUAAAAAUCCUUUUCAGAUAGUUUUGGUCUCAAAUGAUGUUCGAAAAAUACCUUGUUAAACAUGUUCAAUCUUCAUAACUAUAUAUUUCAUUUUUUUUAUAUUUUUCUUCUGUCAUUUUCUAAAUUAACCAUAAGAAUGUGGGCAUUAAUCCUCUUUUAUGUUUUUGCAGCUAGUCAACAAUAUUAAGCAACAUAGUAGACGUAAAGUCCUUAAAUGGGCAAUUAUGUUAUCUAUAUCCAAUCUUAUUUUCACUAUACUUUCUUAUUUUUUUCCUCAUCAGCCUUGUCCAUAUCCUCAUCCUCCUCCUCAUCAUCAUCAUCAUCCUCAUCCUCAUUAUCAUCACGACCAUCACCAUCAUUUUCAUCAUUAUGAUUUUCAUUGUCAUCAUUAUCAUCAUCAAGAUCCUCCUCAUCAUCAUCAAUAUCGUCUCCAAUAUACUUUGUGCAUGAUUUUUAAUUUUUGUAAUGAUGUGAUGCAAAUAAAAAACCUUCAACAAAUAGGUGGUUCUUGUAUUUAAGAAUGUAUUUAUCUUUUUUCUAUUUUUGACUUCAUUAUAAAAAAUUAAGUUGUUUGUCUUUACUCGUACAUUUUGUGAAAGUGUUUAAAGCUUUUCGACGAUAUAGUUUCAAUAUAGUAAAUGGAUAAAUAGGUUACAUCCUUUAAUUAAACUAUUAUCUUUUUAUUCUUAUUAUUAUAAUUAUUUUUAUGUUUUUUUCUUGUCUUCAUUCUCUUUCAUACUUGACUAAUAGAAAGCUUACUUUUAGUGCAAAAAUCUGAAUGCUAUAUAUGAGUUUUGGAAACUCUAUAAUGGUAUUGACAUUAGGGAUGGCAGUUUUGUGGGCUAUUCGGGUAACCCACCUCGCCCCACCCCUAUUAAGACGGGUAUGAGUAGGUGAUAAUCGGGGAUGGGACGGGUUUGGAAAAAUUUUCAAAACCCAAAUCGGGUUCAAGGCGGGAAUGGGUUUUGUACCAACUCACCUCGGCCCGCCUAGCUAAGUUACAAAUUUAACCUUCAAAAUUUAUAAAAUACCAAACAACUCCUUAUAAAUAGUUUCUUUUUUCAUUUCCCUAGAUCAACCGUUGCUCUUUUCUCAUCGCUUUUCUAUCAUAUCUGUAUAUUGCCCAUUUCUACUUCAAACUUCAAAAAUCCAUCUUCAAUGAUGAAUCGAAGAAGAGCAACAAAAUCAAGAAACGUUCGUAGAGAAACCCUUUUCUUCUUUUCAAAUAAAAGUGGAAUCAUAAUGAUGAUUGGCUCCAUGUGAUAGUGACAACUUCAACAUUAUCAAGUGUCAAAGCCUUUGGCCUCCAUUUUAAGCCUUCUCCUCUUCUGAAGGUGUUUUGAUUUGGUUUUCAUCUCAUGUUGGAUUGUGUAAAAAUAUUUGAUUUAAAAAAAAAUUGGAUAUUUUUUCCUUUCUAAUUUGAGUUUUGGUUUGAUAAUCAACUUGCAUCCCAUAUUGCUCUAAGUGUGAAUCUAUAUGUCUCAGACGCGUUCAUUUUUAUUUUUUUUCAAUAUUUUCUUUCUAAAAGCCAUUGUGAUCUCUAGAAAUUUUUGUGAUUUUUUUUCUUUUUUCAAAGAAGUGUAUAAACAUGAAAAUUAUGAAUUUGUUCAUUGGAAGUUUUAUGGAUUGAUGUAAUGUUGUUGGUUUUGAGAAAAUCAUCAUCCCCAUCAAAACAAAAAUACAUAUUUGGGUUGAGACAUGCGGGAACGGGUUUAUCAUUUUUCCCGUAAAUGGAGAUGGGUAUUCAUCAUCAUGCCCUGACUCGGGAUUUGGGACGGGGAUGGGGAAGGAUUAUAUAAUUGGGAUGGCAAUGGGAUAAGGGUGCCCCGUCCCAAACUCACCCUAUUGUCAUCCCUGAUUGUCACAAAUACAUCCAUUACAUCCAUUAAUUUUAUUUAUGCAGAUAUUCGAUGCUACCAAAUUAUAUUGUCGACUUGAAAAUAUUUUUCAAAUAGUUUUGGACUCAAAUGAUGUUGUUGGAACAAAUACCCUAUCAAAUGAGUUUAAUUUUAAUAUCUAAAUAUUUCUUUAUUUGUUAUUCUUUUUUUUUUCAUUUUAUAAAUUAAUCAUAAGAAUGAGUGCAUUAAUCAUCUCCUUUGUUUUCUGCAACCAAUUGACAAUCUUAAGCAACAUUGUAGGCCUAAAGUCCUUAAAUGGAAGUUCGAUAUCCAUAACCAGUCUUUAUUUUUAUUGUGCUCUCUCAUUUUUUCCUCCUCAUCAUCCUCGCCGUCAACAUAAUCAUCAUCAUCUUUCUCAUCCUCAUUAUCAUCAUUAUUGUUAGGACAUUAAGUUUUGUUUGUACGCUCAUAAUUUUGUUCCUUUUAUUUUUUGUCAAAAGUUUUUUUAGGUGUAGUGUCUUGCUCUCCAUUAAAGAUCAAGGGUUAUUGUUCGAUCAACCCAGAAGUCACAAGUAUGUAUAAAAAGGUUUGACUUGUGACAUAUUAGGUUUUUUUGAGGUAAAAAAGAUUUUUUUUUUCAAGUUAAAAUGUUUUUAUUGAUUUUUUUUAAAAGAGAAAAUGACCACUUAAGUAGUUAGUAUUGCUUAAACAGUCAAACCACUCGAGCGGUCAAGAUCGCUCAAACGAUGUUAGUUUGCUAGAGCAAUUAUACUUUUUAUGUUGAGAAUUUUUCACACAAAUUGAAUUUAGAACUCUUUCAAAAUCGAAACUCUUCAGACUUUUUACCUAUAUAUACUUCAUUAUAACCCCUUGAGGGUAAGAAAUCAUAUAAUUUUUUAGAGGGUUUCAUUAAAGAGAAAAAUCCAAAGUGUCAUACCAUUCCCGAUAUCUGAUAUAAAGGAUUCAAGUGUUGAAUAUUGGGUUGAAGGUUGUCAUUUCUUCAAUGAGGCUAAAGUGAUCCACUAGAGCAAUCAAAGGUUGCUACAUCGCGAACAUGAAUUAAAUUAUAGGUACUAGAGAGUAGGUUUUUAGGGUAAAGUGGUCAAGUAAAUCUGUAUAAUUUGAUUUCAUGUAGUGAAUUUAGAUUAGUAGGUUUUAAACCUCGUGGUUUUUUUAUCUCUAUAGUUAGUGUGAGUAUUUUCCACAUAGAAAUCUUGUGCUCAUUGCUAUGAUUAAUUAUUAUUGUUAUCCUUAACAUCUCCUAGGUUUUCCUUAGAGGAUAAAAAUUAUAAUUUUUAUACUUAAAAGAUUUCAAGUAGAGCCCAUUUGGUUAUAUACGAUACCUCUAGUAUCUCACAGGAUAAAAAAAUUAGGGAUAAUACAUAUAAAUCUUUAUUUUAAAUUUUAAAUCACCCAUUCACCCCUUCCGCGGGUGGUCUCUAUUAGACUUUCAGUUUUCAGUUACCAAACAUCACAAUUACUAUCAUCGUCAUCUUUAUUCUCAUCAUCAUCAUCAUCAACAUCACCACCAUCAUCGUUGUCAUCAUUUAAUGACUUAACCUUUAAAGGAACAUGAUAUGGUGCCUCUAACGUGCUUUGAGGGAUUUUGUAUUUCUGUAAUAAUGUGAUGCAAUACAAAAACCAUUCAUAAAUUAGUCAUUAUAUUUAAAAAGUUUAUUUCUUAUUUAUCUUUCUUUUAUUGUACAUUUCGUAGAGGAGUUCAAAGCUCUUUGACAGUGUGAUUAUCAUAAAGUUAAUGAAUAUAUAGUUUAUGUCCCUUAAUCAAACUGUUAUCUUCUAAUUUUUAUUAUUAUGGUUAUAAUUAUUUUUAUGUUCUUUGCUUUGUUUUCAUUCUCUUUCAUACUUAAUUUUGAAAACUCUAUAAUCGUACUAACAAAAAUACAUCAAUUGCAUUCGUUAACCUUAUUUACGCAAGCAUUCAAUGCUAUCAAAUUAUAUCGUUUGCUCGGAAUCCUUGUUAAAUAGUUUCAGUUUUGAAUGAUGUUGUUGGAACAAAUACCUUAUCAAGCGGAUUCAAUUUUCAUACCUAAAUAUUUCUUUCUUUGUUAAUUAAUUAAAGUCAGAAAUAUGGAAUGAGAUUAAGAUAAAAGAAUAAUAGAGAAGUGAUGUUGCGAUAGUAUUAAAGUGUAACAUUUGGACCAAUAUCAUAAUGCAUAAAAAGUGAGCUCAUGCCAUACUAGUUGGAAUAAAAUUAGGGAUGCACGACCACAAUUAUAAUAUUGCUAUUUCAAAUGAAUGUUGAUAGUAUGAGAUUCUUAGGUCAUAGAUUUUAGUUAGCAAUCGAUAAGAGAUUCAACAAAUGUCUUUGAUGAUGGUAGUAAUUAUGAUGCUUUAAUUUGAUCCAUGGAUUCUCUAGAUGGAAGUUGGGUCAUAAACACUUGCGCAUCUUUCCAUGCUACUUCUAAUAAGAGAAAUUUCUAUAACUAUAUGCAAUAUGAUUUCUACAAACAUUAGCUAAAGCGAUGGUGAACCAUGCAAUAUUAUUGGAAAAGGUGGUGUGAAAUGUUAUGAUUUUUAACAAAUCUAUCACGCAUAAUUUAAAGAAACUAGCAAAGAAAAUUAAAGUUCCUAAAUAUGUAGAGCUCGAGGAGAUAACAAGGAUGCCAUGAAACCUCAAACUAAAAACUUAAGGGUUGAACCUAAAACUACUCUAUCUCCAUUAAGAAGAUCAUCCAAUACCAUUUAAGUCUAUAAAUCAUUAUUCUCGAUCUUUGCAUUAUUAGUUAUCAAUCUGAUGAUGAAUCUAAGUCUUAUAAAGAAGUUGUACAAGUAGAUACUAGGAGAAAUUGAGAGCAAGUUAUGGAUACCGAGAUGAAGUCUCUUUCAUAAAAUCAAACUUAGGAUUUGAUUAAAUUACCCAUAGGUAAGAAAACUUUACACAAUAAAGGUGCCUAUGAAUAGAUUGAAGAAGGAAAUUGCUAGCUCUAAGAGAUACAAAGCUGGAAGGUAUUGAUCACAUUGAAAUUUUAUUUCCUAUUGUCAAACUUUCAACUAUUAGAUUACUUUUGAAUAUUAUGGCAAUAAAAGACUUACACUUAGAAUAGUUGGAUGUGAAUAUUGCAUUCCUUUAUGAGGAUCUAGAAGAAGAGAUUACAUGCAUCAACAACAAGAUUAUGUUGCGAGUGGAAAAGAAAAUAUGGUUUUGUAAGCUUAAAAAAAGCUUGUACAAACUUAAGCAAGCGUCAAAGUAAUGGUAUGAAAAGUUCAAUGGUUUUACGUUAAAAAAACAAGGUUUAAUAGAUGUAAUGCAUCUCAUUAUUGUUUCUUUGAGAAACUCUACUCUUCUUAUUUAAUUCUCCUUCUAUAUGCAAAUGAUAUGCUUAUUGUAGGCUCAAGCACGAAUAAGAUCUUCAAACUAAAAGAGUAAUUGUUAAGCAAUUUUCAAUGAUGAAUGUGAGAGUUGUUAAUCAAAUCCUUGGUAUGAGAAUCAAUAGAGACUGUGUGAAUAAGAAACUAAAAUUAUCAUAAGCUAAAUGCAUUGUUAUGGUGCAUAAGAGGUUUAAUAGAGGACAAUCUAACUAGUCAACACUUCUUUAGCAAGUCAUUUUAAGCUUUCAAAUGGACAAUGUGUAGAGCCACAAGUUGAUCAUGACUACAUGGAAAAGUUUCAUAUGCCUCAGCUAUUGAUAAACCUAAUGUAUGCCAUGGUCUAUAUAAAAGCACAUUGCUCAAAGUGUAGAUGAUAGUACAUUCAUAAGUACUCCUGGAAAGGAACAUUGAGAAGCAAUUAAAUGAAUAUUUUGAUAUAUCUUAAAGAUAACACUGAUCUUUUUCUAUAUGUGGAGAAUAUCUUAAAGAUAGCACUAAUCUUGUUUAUAAGGUUAUGUUUAUACAAAUUUAUUAGGAGAUAUUAAUACUAGAAUAAACGUUAUGAGCUAUGUGUUGACUUUUAAGUAAUGCAACAAUGAAUUGGAUAUCUCAAUAACAAAAAAUUGUAGUUAUUUCCAUGAUAGAAGAAAAAUAUAUUGCUACCAUAAAGGUAUGCAAGGAGAUGAUUUGGCUAACAAAAUCUUAUGAAAAAGUUGGUCAAGUCAAUGUUAAUUAUGGUGUUUACAAUUAAAAGGUUGAAGCUUUGUUCAAUUUCGUUUUAUCUUUAGAUGCAAAGAUAAAAAUUACAUCAAGUUCCUUGUACAUAUUUUAGUGUAUGAGCUACUUUUGAAUCUCCAUCCAAAUGGAAGAUAGUUACAUGUUGGGUGGGAUUAUUUAGGUUUCUUGACAUAGUUAGGCUAUGUUUGAUUCCCAUAAAGUAUGAAGGAAAGAAAAAAAAAUGUUAAGAAAUAUGAUUUUCUUAUAUUUGGUUUUACUAUAGAAAAUAUAAAAAAAAGUCAAAUAUAAUUAAAAUUAUUAAGAAAAUUAUAUAUUUUUAAAUUAUUUAAUACUUACAUAGAAAAGGUAAAUAAGUGAAAAAAGUUUAAAGUAAUAUAUAAAAAUAAUUUAUUGACUUUAAUCUAUUUUUUAUUUUCCUUCCUUUUUUCUUUUCUUCUUUAUUUUCUUUCCUUAUCAUUUUCCUUCAAACUUUCCAAUAUCCAAACAUAACCUUAUUCGAUAAGUCUAUAUAUUCAAUUUAAUUACAAGCAUAGUGACUAUGCGAAAUUAGUGACAUGCUAACUAAUGAUAUUCAUAAUCAUUUAAGAGGUCUUGAGUGAGUGCAUUAAUUUGGUGUGACCCAACAUCAAUGUAGCUCGACAACUUCAUAGAUGUGACCCAACACGGAUGUUGCUACGUAACUUUAUAGAUUUCUUCUUUGAUGUUUACUUUUAAUUUUUUAAGUAUUGAAGACAAUGACAAAGGAUAAUACAAAAAAAUAAUUAAAUAACAAGUAACUUAUUUUCAAUUAUAUAUAUAAUAACACUUUCUUCUACUUGGUUGGUUUUGAGAAUAUGUGAGGGAAAAUAUGAGAAAAAUAAUAAAUUAUUAUUAUAUAUUACUUUAAAUUUAUUUAAUCUUUUUUAAAAUUUUUAAAUAAAAGUUAAAUAAUUUAUAAAUUUAUAAAUUUUUUAUUAAUUUUAAUAAUAUUUAAUUUUUUUAUAUUUUUCAUCGUACAAUCAAAUAUGAAAAACUUAAUUAUAUUUUCUUAAAAUUUUAUGGAACCAAGAUAUAAUCUAUAAAUGUUAUUAUUUAUAGAAAAACAGAAGUUAGGAAAUACAUUAUUAUUAUUUUUCCAAAUUUUGAAUGAAAUUACCUAGCAUGAUCCUUUUAGGUCUUGGUAGAUCCAAAGAGACAUAAAAAUUAUGGACCCUAUAAACAAAGAAAUCAAAGAAUGUUGGUCCCACAUAAUGCUAUCAGUGGCGGCUGCGGACCAUUCACCCGACCGUCACAACGACCUUUAUUAACCAUGAUUGAUGAUUGAUUCAUGCACCUCAUUACUUGUCUACGUUCGCCUAGUCAAAGAUGGAAAUCUGCCAUGUGGGCCUCGCUCACGCGCUUUCACACGGAAAAAAAUUACACAAGCCCACUGCAACCUAUCUUCCCAUCUUAAAAUCUUUGAAGUUUGAAGCAUCUUCCCGGAAAAAGGGUGUGGUUAUGUUUAGUAGAUUUUUUUAAUAAAAAAAUAUUUUAUAAAAAGAUUAAUAAGAUAAAUAAAAUUAAUUAUAUGUACAAAUAUACUCUAAAAGUAUCUUAUUCAAAAUGCAAAAGUCCUCAAAAGUCUUUCAUAUUUUUCAUGUUUUUCAACUCUCAAAUUUGUUUUUUUUUAAUAUAAUUCUCAAAAAUUGUUUUCAAUUAAAAAUUUAUUAAAUAUAAUUUCAAAAUUAAAAAUAUUUUUCUAUAAUAAGAGAUUAAAACUUUAUUUAAAAAAAAAAGUGUCCUCAAAGCCAGUUUUGAAAAACAAUUUUUGAAAACUGUUUUAUAAUAUUUUAUAAAAACAAAAAAUUGUUAGGAAAUUUAAAUAUUUUUAACUUUUUUCUAUGUUUUUAAAAAUAUUUUUGUGUACAUAAUGUUUUGUUUUUAACCAUUUUGUAUAUUUCUAUAAUUAUUUUUUAAAAUAAUUAUCUAAAAACAAGUUAAAACAUUUAAAAUAUGUUCAAGAAGAGAAAAUUGUUUUAAAAAAAUAAUUACCAAAUAAGCCAUUAAGGUUUAAUAGGAUAUAUUUUCAAAAAUGGUUUUUUAUAAUAAAAAUCUACGUGGGACUUAACAUUCUUAACCUAUUUUUUAUGUUUUCAAAUAUUUUUAAUGUUCAUAUUUAUAUAAAUAAUAAUAAUAAUAAUGUAUUUUUUAAAAACACUUUGUUUUCAAAACAAUUUUCCCUCUUAAUAAAUGAAAUAGGCCACAACCAAACAUGCAUACUUUCAUAACUUUUCUCUUUUUUUUUUUUUUUGUUCUCAAAAUAAAGUUUCUUGAGAAUUGUCUUCUCAUUAAUUUCAAGAAGAAUUUUCAACCACAACUUAGAUUUUUGUUUUAAGUUUUCUUCUGAUUGGUGAUCUCAUAAAGUUGAAUUUAUUGCAGGAUUGACCUUUAACCCAAUGAAGUACUACUUGUCGGUGUGUCGACAGUUUGAUUUUUGGCUUUUUUUUUUUUGCUUGUGAGGCCUUAGCUACCUUGUAUACCCCUGUAUGUUGUGUGGCUUUUGGCCUCUAGUUUAAUAAAUUCCUGGCUUACUUAUCAAAAAAAAAAAUCAUCAUCAUCCUUCUCAUCCUCAUCAUCAUCAUUACUGUUAGGAUGUUAAGUUUUGUUUGUAUGUUGAUAAUUUUGUUCCUUUUAUUUUUUGUCAAAAGUUUUUUUAGGUAUAGUGUCUUGCUCUCCAUUAAAGAUCAAGGGUUACUAUUCGACCAACCCAGAAGUCACAAGUAUGUAUAAAAAUGUUUGACUUAUGACAUAUUAGGCUUUUUUGAGGUAAAAAAGAAAUAAUUUUUUUUCUCAAGUCAAAAUGUUUUUAUUGAUUUUUUUUUUUAUAGAGAAAAUGACCACUUAAGUAGUUAGUAUCGCUUAAACAGUCAAACCACUCGAGCGGUUAGGAUUGCUCAAGCGAUGUUAGUUUGCUAGAGCAAUUAUACUUUUUAUGUCGAUAAUUUUUCACAAAAAUUGAAUUUAGAACUCUUUCAAAAUCGAAACUCUUCGGACUUUUUGCCUAUAUAUACUUCAUUAUAACCCCUUGAGGGUAAGAAAUCAUAUAAUUUUUUAGAGGGUUUCAUUAAAGAGAAAAGUCUAAAGUGUCAUACCAUUCCCGAUCUCUGAUAUAAAGGAUUCAAGUGUUGAAUAUUGGGUUGAAGGUUGUCAUCCCUUCAAUGAGGCUAAAGUGAUCCACCAGAGCAAUCGAAGGUUGUUGCGUCGCGAAUAUGAAUCAAAUUAUAGGUACUAGAGAGUGGAUCUUUAGGGUAAAGCGGUCAGGUAAAUCUUUUGAUUUCGUGUAGUGGAUUUAGAUUAGUAGGUUUUAAACCUCGUGGUUUUUUAUCUCUAUAGUUAGUGUGAGGAUUUUCCACCUAGAAAUCUUGUGCUCAUUGCUAUGAUUAAUUAUCAUUGUUAUCCUUAACAUCUCCCAAGUUUUCCUUAGAGGAUAAAAAUUAUAAUUUUUAUACUUAAAAGAUUUCAAGUAGAGUCCAUUUGGUUAUAUACGGUACCCCUAGUAUCUCACAGGAUAAAAAAAUUAGGGAUAAUACAUAUAAAUCUUUAUUUUAAAAUUUAAAUCACCCAUUCACCCCUUCCGUGGGUGUUCCCUAUUAGACUUUUAGUUUUCAGUUACCAAACAUCACAAUUACUAUCAUCAUCAUCCUUAUUCUCAUCAUCAUCAUCAUCAUUGCCAUCAUUUAAUGACUUAACCUUUAAAGGAACAUGAUAUGGUGCCUCUAACAUGCUUUGUGGGAUUUUGUAUUUAUGUAAUAAUGUGAUGUAAUACAAAAACCAUUCAUAAAGUAGUAAUUAUAUUUAAAAAGCUAAUUUCUUAUUUAUCUUUCUUUUAUUGUACAUUUCGUAGAUGUGUUCAAAGCUCUUUGACAGUGUGAUUAUCAUAAAGUUAAUGAAUAUAUAGUUUAUGUCCCUUAAUCAAACUGUUAUCUUCUAAUUUUUAUUAUUAUGGUUAUAAUUAUUUUUAUGUUCUUUUCUUUGUUUUCUUUCUCUUUCAUACUUAAUUAUUAGAAAGCUUGUUUUUAGUGCAAACAUUUGAAUUAUGUAGAUGAGUUUUGAAAACUCUAUAAUGGUACUAACAUAUAUACAUCAAUUGCAUCCAUUAACUUUAUUUACGCAAGCAUUCAAUGUUAUCAAAUUAUAUCGUUUGCUCGGAAUCCUUGUUAAAUAGUUUCAAUUUUGAAUGAUGUUGUUGGAUCAAAUACCUUAUCAAGCGGAUUCAAUUUUCAUAUUUAAAUAUUUCUUUCUUUGUUAAUUAAUUAAAGUCAGAAAUAUGGAAUGAGAUUAAGAUAAAGGAAUAAUAGAAAAGUGAUGGUGCAAUAGUAUUAAAGUGUAAUGUUUGGACCAAUAUCAUAAUGCAUAAAAAGUGAGCUCAUGCCAUACUAGUUGGAAUAAAAUUAGGGAUGCAUGACGACAAUUAUAAUAUUGCUAUUUCAAAUUAAUGUUGAUAGUAUGAGAUUCUUAGGUCAUAGACUUUAGUUAGUAAUCGAUAAGAGAUUCAACAAAUGUCUUUGAUGAUGGUAGUAACUAUGAUGCUUUAAUUUGAUCCAUGGAUUCUCUAGAUGGAAGUUGGGUCAUAAACACUUGUGCAUCUUUCCAUGCUACUUCUAAUAAGAAACUAUGUGCAAUAUGAUUUCUACAAACAUUAGCUAAAGCGAUGAUGAACCAUGCAAUAUUAUUGGAAAAGGUGGUGUGAAAUGUUAUGAUUUUUAACAAAUCUAUCACGCAUGAUUUAAAGAAACUAGCAAAGAAAAUUAAAGUUCCUAAAUAUGUAGAGCUCGAGGAGAUAACAAGGAUGCCAUGAAACCUCAAACUAAAACCUUAAGGGUUGAACCUAAAACUACUCUAUCUCCAUUAAGAAGAUCAUCCAAGACUAUUUAAGUCUAUAAAUCAUUAUUCUCGAUCUUUGCAUUAUUAGUUAUCAAUCUGAUGAUGAAUCUAAGUCUUAUAAAGAAGUUCUACAAGUAGAUACUAGGAGAAAUUGGGAGCAAGUUAUGGAUGCCGAGAUGAAGUCUCUUUCAUCACAUCAAACUUAGGAUUUGAUUAAAUUACCCAUAGGUAAGAAAACUUUACAUAAUAAAGGUGCCUAUGAAUAGAUUGAAGAAGGAAAUUGCUAGCUCAAAGAGAUACAAAGCUAGAAGGUAUUGAUCACAUUGAAAUUUUAUUUCCUAUUAUCAAACUUUCAACUAUUAGAUUACUUUUGAAUAUUAUGGCAAUAAAAGACUUACAUUUGGAAUAGUUGGAUGUGAAUAUUGCAUUCCUUUAUGAGGAUCUAGAAGAAGAGAUUACAUGCACCAACAAUAAGAUUAUGUUGCGAGUGGAAAAGAAAAUAUGGUUUUGUAAGCUUAAAAAAAGCUUGUACAAACUUAAGCAAACGUCAAACAAAUGGUAUGAAAAGUUGAAUGGUUUUACGUCAAAAAAACAAGGUUUAAUAGAUGUAAUGCAUAUCAUUACUGUUUCUUUGAGAAACUUUACUCUUCUUAUUUAAUUCUCCUUCUAUACGCAAAUGAUAUGCUUAUUGUAGGCUCAAGCACGAAUAAGAUCUUCAAACUAAAAGAGUAAUUGUUAAGCAAUUUUCAAUGAUGAAUUUGAGAGUUGUUAAUCAAAUCCUUGGUAUGAGAAUCAAUAGAGACCGUGUGAAUAAGAAACUAAAAUUAUCAUAAGCUAAAUGCAUUGUUAUGGUGCAUAAAAGGUUUAAUAGGGGACAAUCUAACUAGUCAACACUUCUUUAGCAAGUCAUUUUAAGCUUUCAAAGGGACAAUGUGUAGAGACACAAGUUGAUCAUGACUACAUGGAAAAGUUUCAUAUGCCUCAGCUAUUGAUAAACCUAAUGUAUGCCAUGGUCCGUAUAAAAGCACAUUGCUCAAAGUGUAGAUGAUAGUACAUUCAUAAGUACUCCUGGAAAGGAACAUUGAGAAGCAAUUAAAUGAAUAUUUUGAUAUAUCUUAAAGAUAACACUGAUCUUUUUCUAUAUGUGGAGAAUAUCUUAAAGAUAGCACUAAUCUUGUUUAUAAGGUUAUGUUUAUACAAAUUUAUUAGGAGAUAUUAAUACUAGAAUAAACGCUAUGAGCUAUGUGUUGACUUUAAGUAAUGCAACAAUGAAUUGGAUAUCUCAAUAACAAAAAAUUGUAGUUAUUUCCAUGAUAGAAGAAAAAUAUAUUGCUACCAUAAAGGUAUGCAAGGAGAUGAUUUGGCUAACAAAAUUCUUAUGAAAAAGUUGGACAAGUCAAUGUUAAUUAUGGUGUUUACAAUUAAAAGGUUGAAGCUUUGUUCAAUUUCGUUUUAUCUUUAGAUGCAAAGAUAAAAAUUACAUCAAGUUCCUUGUACAUAUUUUAGUGUAUGAGCUACUUUUGAAUCUCCAUCCAAAUGGAAGAUUGUUACAUGUUGGGUGGGAUUAUUUAGGUUUCUUGACAUAUUUAGGCUAUGUUUGAUUCCCAUAAAGUAUUAAGGAAAGAAAAAAAAUGUUAAGAAAGAUAAUUUUCUUAUAUUUGGUUUUACUAUAGAAAAUAUAUAAAUAAAAAAGUCAAAUAUAAUUAAAAUUAUUAAGAAAUUUAUAUAUUUUUAAAUUAUUUAAUACUUAUAUAGAAGAGUUAAAUAAGUGAAAAAGGUUUGAAGUAAUAUAUAAAAAUAAUUUAUUGACUUUAAUCUAUUUUUUAUUUUUCUUCAUUUUCUUUUCUUUUACUUUUCUUAUUUAUUUUAUUUCCUUAGCAUUUUCCUUCAAACUUUCCAAUAUCCAAACAUAACCUCAUUCGAUAAGUCUAUAUAUUCAAUUUAAUUACAAUCACAAUGACUAUGCGGAAUUAGUGACAUGCUAACUAAUGAUAUUCAUAAUCAUUUAAGAGGUCCUGAGUGAGUGCAUUAAUUUGGUGUGACCCAACAUCAAUGUAGCUCGGCAACUUCAUAGAUGUGACCCAACAUGGAUGUUGCUAGGUAACUUCAUAGAUUUCUUCUUUGAUGUUUAAUUUUAAUUUUUGAAGUAUUGAAGAAUUUGACAAAGGAUAAUACAAAAAAAAUAAUAAAAUAACAAGUAACUUAUUUUCAAUUGUAUAUAUAAUAACACUUUCUCCUACUUGGUUGGUUUUGAGAAUAUGUGAAGGAAAAUAUGAAAAAAAAUAAUAAAUUAUUUGUAUAUACUAUUUCAAAUUUAUUUAAUCUUUUUAAUAUUUUUUAAAUAAAAGUUAAAUAAUUUAUAAAUUUUUUAUUAAUUUUAAUAAUAUUUAAUUUUUUUAUAUUUUUCAUCUACAAUCAAAUAUGAAAAACUUUAAUUAUAUUUUCUUAAAAUUUUAUGGAACCAAGAUAUAAUCUAUAAAUAUUAUUAUUUAUAGAAAAACAGAAGUUAGGAAAUACAUUAUUAUUAUUAUUAUUAUUAUUAUUAUUAUGAUUCCAAAUUUUGAAUGAAAUUAGCUAGCAUGAUCCUUUUAGGUCUUGGUAGAUCCAAAGAGACAUAAAAUUUAUGGACCCUAUAAACAAAGAAAUCAAGGAAUGUUGGUCCCACAUAAUGCUAUCAGUGGCGGCUGCGGACCAUUCACCCGACCGUCACAACGACCUUUAUUAACCAUGAUUGAUGAUUGAUCCAUGCACCUCAUUACUUGUCUACGUUCGCCUAGUCAAAGAUGGAAAUCUGCCAUGUGGGCCUCGCCCACGCGCUUUCACACGGAAAAAAGUUACACAAGCCCACUGCAAUCUUUCUUCCAUCUUAACAUCUUUGAAGUUUGAAGCAUCUUCCCGGAGAAAGGGUGUGGUUAUGUUUAGUAGAUUUUUUUAAUAAAAAAAUAUUUUAUAAAAAGAUUAAUAAGAUAAAGAAAAUUAAUUAUAUGUACAAAUAUACUCUAAAAGCAUCUUAUUCAAAAUGCAAAAGUCCUCAAAAGUCUUUCAUAUUUUUCAUGUUUUUCAACUCUCAAAUUUGUUUUUUUUUUAAUAUAAUUCUCAAUAAUUGUUUUCAAUUAAAAAUUUAUUAAAUAUAAUUUCAAAAUUAAAAAUAAUUUUCUAGAAUAAGAGAUUAAAACUUUAUUUAAAAAGAAAAUUUCAAAACUAGUUUUGAAAACUGUUUUAUAAUGUUUUAUAAAACAAAAAAUUGUUAGGAAAUUUAAAUGUUUUUAAUUUUUUUCUAUGUUUUUAAAUGUAUUUUAAAAAUGUUUUUGUGUAUAUAAUGUUUUGUUUUUAACCAUUUUGUAUAUUUCUAUAAUUAUUUUUUAAAAUAAUUAUCUAAAAACAAGUUAAAACAUUUAAAAUAUGUUCAAGAAGAGAAAACUGUUUUUAAAAAAAAAAAUUACUAAAUAAGCCAUUAAGGUUUAAUAGGAUAUAUUUUCAAAAAUGGUUUUUUAUAAUAAAAAUCUACGUGAGAUUUAACAUUCUUAACCUAUUUUUUAUGUUUUCAAAUAUUUUUAAUGUUCAUAUUUAUAUAAAAAAUAAUAAUAAUAAUGUAUUUUCUAAAAACACUUUGUUUUCAAAACAAUUUUCCCUCUUAUUAAAUGAAAUAGCCCACAACCAAACAUGUAUACUUUCAUAACUUUUUUUUUUUUUUUUGUUCUCAAAGUAAAGUUUCUUGAGAAUUGUCUUCUCAUUAAUUUCAAGAAGAAUUUUCAACCACAACUUAGAUUUUUGUUUUAAGUUUUCUUCUUAUUGGUGAUCUCAUAAAGUUGAAUUUAUUGCAGGACUGGCCUUUAACCCAGUGGAGUACUACUUGUGGGUGUGCCGAUUUAAAGGAAGAAUUACCCAAAAGGGUGGGCUGAAAAAAAUAAUGACUAUAAAGGCUCACUUUUUUAGAGGAUAAUUUUACCCUUAAAUAUGUUUUUUAUAUUAUUUAUAAAUAAAUUGAGAUUGUCAAUGAUGUGGGGCUCAUACAUGAUGAUAAGUACAAGUUGAUAGGUAAUCAACGGUACAUUUCUCAGCUUGAAAAAAUUGUUAUCACUUUUGAACAAUCAAAUGACUAUUUAAAAAUUUGCUAUUUUUUUUUUUCAAAAAAAUUGAGAUUUUUUAAAGAACCUUGUAAAAAAAAUAAUUUUUAAUAUCUCAUAAAUAAAAACCAUAUCUUAAAGUUAUUAUAUCGUUUUAUAUAUAAAACAUACAAUUAAAAACUUUGUUAUCAUAAUAUAAUGAAUAAUUAUUUUUUACUAGCACUCAUCAAUUGAAUAAUAUAUAAAUAUUCAAUUGACUAACACACACCUAUUAAAUGAAAUAACUCACAAUUAUUCAUUGGAUAAUAUAGCACGUGAAAAAAUUAAAUAAAAAUAAAUUAAAUUAUGUUGUAAUAUAUUGUAAUGAUAGUGUAUUUAUAUUAUAAGUAUAAUGCAUUUAUAUUGUACCUAUAUUUCAUUACAAAAGUAAUAAUUCUAAAAAUGUUUAUUCAUACCCUAUUGGUAUUAACACAUCGUAUUAAUAUAUUAACAACAUUUAUUUAGUGUUUUGAAAUUAUUUAAUAAUUUUUGUAUAUAUAUAUAUAUAUAUAUAAACUACGUGAAUUCAAAUUAGUAUUUCAUUUGGUUUCAGAAAUUAUUUAUGAUAUAGGUAUGUUGUGAAAUAUGGUAUGAUCAUACGAAAUUACCAUUUUUAUAAAAAAAUUUCAUAAAUUUCUUAAUUAUGUUUUAUUAUAAUGUAAGUGUAUUUAUAUGUAAUUAUAACAUAUUUUUGUUGUGUUGAUAUUUUAUAAUAAAAGUAAUAAUCUUGAGGAUCAUCUUUUAUAUCUUAUUAAUAUUCAACAUAUCAAAUAUAUUAACAUCAUCCACUCGAUGCAUUGAGAAAAAAAAUUUAUAUGAAAAUUAAAAAAAAAAACAUUAUGCAAAGGAAAAAAAAUCAUAUAAAUUUUUUUAAAUUAUUUUAUUAUAAAAAUAAAAAAUGAUUAAACCUUCUCUAUCAUUUUCUUAUUCUUUUUAGAGAAUCUGAAUGAAAAUUUAAACAUUUUAUCUUCCUUAAAUUUAAUACAAAAACAUAAUUUAUCAAUUUAAAAUUAUAAUAUAUAUAUAUAUAUAUAUAUAUAUAUAUAUAUAUAUAUAUAUAUAUAUAUAUAUAUGAAAAAAUAAUCAUUUUUAUUAUAUAAUUAUAAAACUUAUUUUUUUCUUCAUAAAAUUAAAAAUUAUAAUAAAAAUAUAAAAAGGUAAAAAAAACAAUAAAUGAUAUUUUGAAAAUAUUUUUUGAAAGUAUUUUUGUUUUAAAUAGUAAAUUUAAAUAACAAAUUAUAUAUAAUUGUAAGGGUUAAACCCAAAAUUUUGAUUUAAAAUUUAAAUAUCAAUAAUUACAAUAAAUGUGAGACUCAUGUAUCAUAAAUGUAUUGACAAAUCAAGUGAAGUGCUUUAAAUGCUUUGAAUUUUAAAAGUUUUAGUUAAAUGACAGUUUUGGUAUAUUAAACCUAUUAAAAUCCUUCCCAAGAAUUAUUAAAAGAUACCACAUUUCUAAUAAUUGUUCGGUCCAAUCCAUCAUUUGUGGUAAUUCUCUACUAUUUAAAUGGGUAGGAGGUUGUUGUCAUUGCGAUUAAAGUCAAGAUUCCAUUGCUUUUAAUGUACAUGUUAUGGUUGCAAUAUCUUUGGGAGACGUACUUUUGAGCCAAACAGUAAGACCUGUCCAUUGAGUACGGGUGAUGUAAAUAUAUAAAAUGGGUCUCAAUUCAAGUAUAGAAGAAACAACUCAAACUUAAUCUUUUAAUUACUGUUUUUGAAAAACAAUUCUAAAUAAUAGUAUUUUUAAAAUAAUUUUUAAAAAUAAUUUUUUAAUUUUUAUAAAAUAAAAUCUGUUUAAAAAUCUAAAAUAUUUUUAACUUAUUUUUUAAUAUUUUUAAAAUUAACUUUUAUAUCUAAUAUUUUAUUUUUAAUUAUUCUAUAUAUUCAUAUAAUUAUUUCUUAAAAUAGUUAUUAGAAAAUAAGUGAAAAUAAAAAAAUAAAAAAUUAAAAGGUAUUUUUUGAAAAGAAUAAAAAAUAAAAAAUAAUUUUUAAUUAUUAAAUGUGUUUUCUGUAUUUUUACUUUUGGAGAAGUGAAAACUGUUUCUAAAAACAAUUCCAAACAUACCUUUACUACUCCACUCAACUUUCUCCGCCAUCGGUCUGACUACUGGACAAAUUAGAAAGUCUUAGUCAAGGUUGGCUACACUGGGACAUAAUUUCCCCACGAUAUUAAAUUGGUCUCCAGCGCCAGGAUUUAUUGUUUUCAUUUUCUCAUUAGGAUCUUACACACCUCUGCAAACGAAGUGAGCUAGCUCAAGGAGUUUGAGGAGGAGGAGGAGAUCAUAUAUCAUAUAUGGCUACUUUUCCAGAUAUUCAGAAGCCUCUCUUCUUCGCUUUCAUUCUCAUAUGGCUCAUACUGAUGUGCUUUGGCUCCAAAGCCCAAGGUGGUCGGCUUCCUGACGAUGAAGGUAAGAGAUCAAACUUGGUCGAUCCUCUUUUUUCCGACUGUCUUCCACCUCACAUUAUUUUCUUUAUAUAGUUGCAUGGCUGCUCCCCCAUGUUUGCCUCUUAGAAAUUAUCAAGAAAAGAACAAUAUUUUAAGACCAUAAAAAAAAAUAUAUAUAUGUGAAGAAGAAAAUAUUAAGGUUUCCUCAAAUUUUUUUGUGAACAACCCUAUAAAAGAAAAAUAUUAAGGUUCCUCCCUGUUUUCUUUACCUCAAAUUUUAGAAACCAAACAUACCUAAAUCUAUUAUUCUAUUCUUUGAACUAUUUUUCCCAAAACAAGAGAAAGAAAUAAUCACAAAAAAAUGUCAUCAAAUCCACCAGACAAAUAAUUUAAAUGUUAUUUUAUAUAUACAUAUAAGGAUUACAAUGAGUUGGGUUUUUUUUUAGUACCCGCUCAUAAUGAGAAGAGUUUAGAAUAAAGAUAAACGGAUUCAGGAUGAGUUUGGAAAGUUUAAAAAUGACGGGAUGGGUUCCGAGAAAGUUCAUGUAUGACUUUGUUCUACCUGAUUAUAUGUAAUUUUAAAUAAAAAUUUAUUUUAAUUGAUUUUUUUUCUAUUUUUCAACUUUUUAAAUAUAAAUAAAAUAUUAAUUUUUAUAAAAAUAAAUUUAAAUAUUUAUAAUAUUUUUUAUUUAUAAAUCAUAUUUAUUUUUAAUAAAAUUUUAAAACUAAAAAUAUUGAAAAAUUUUAAAUAGGGCAGGGUAAGUAUGAUAUGAUAAUUUUCUAUAUUUGUCUCCACCAUUUAUUUAUUUUUUUUUUUUUAUGGGAAUGAAAAUAAAUAUAAAUAAAUUGGGAUGAGGUGACUUGUCCCAAACCCGUUACCAUCCUUAUACAUAAGCAUAACUAAGAUGCUAUGAAAUAAAUUACUAUAAAAAAAUUUAAUAUUAAAUUUGGAUUAUUUUUUUUUGUUUUUAAAUAGAAAGUCUUACACAAAAUAUUGGAAUUCUUAAAACACUUUUUAAAAUUUAGAGAAGUAAAAAAUUUUACCGUAAUAAAUUUUUGAAAUUUUGAAAAGAUUUUCUAAAGGUAGAAAGUAAAUUUCUUUCUUUCAUUUUUUUUUUAAAUAUUUUAUAAGAGUUCUUUAUUUUGUAUAGAAGUUUUUAUUUUAGAAAUAAAAAAUAAGAAGUACAUCCAAACGCCACCACACCCUAAUUAUGAACCUUAAUCAAAUGAAUUAUAUAUGCAACAUAUUAAAUCUGAGUUGUGAGAUUUUUGUGCAAUGGAAGCUACAUGUACUACAAGAACGAAGACAUGAGGUUGAGGUUGAGGGUGCUCUUCUUGAAGAGUUCAGGCCCAAGCCCAACCUAAUAGUUUCUCAGAGGCUUUAGAUCACAGCCCCAUAUCCACUGGCCCCAAGGGCCCAAGGGCCCAAGGGCCCAAGACCCCAAGACAAAGCGCAUGCCCUUUGGAUUGGCCCAAAUGAUAUCCAUAUCCUAGGAGCUUAAAAAUACCAACAAUCUCCGAAGAUAAGAAGGCUAAGUGCCCACUAGGCCCAAAGACCUAGAGGAAGCCAUUUUUCACUAUAAUGAUGCUAACUUCUUUUUGAAUUCUUUUUUAAAAGUAUAUGCCCUUCAAAAAAAUCACCAAAACAUAUACCUAGUGUUAAUUGAUUUUAAAAUAAAAUCUUUUAACUUUUAAAAGUCACUCUAUACGAACGGUGUAAAAUAUUGAAAUUGAACCGAUAUAGUUGAUUGAUGUUAGAAUCAAAAUUGAAUCAAUCCUUUAGUGAUAAUAGAUUUUUUUAAGCUUAAUUUCCUUCGAUUUAUAUCAUUAGCUCAAUGCAAGUAAAUAUAAAAAUUAUACAAAUUUGAGUUUGAAGUUCAACAUAUUUAAAUUUUCUAACUUAAAAUAUAAUGAUUGUAUUUAAAAAAUAAUUUGGUUACUGUUUAAUAAUAAUAAAUUAUUGUAAUAGUGUAAAACAAAAUAUAAUAAAAUAUUGAAUAAAGAGAUUAAAAUCUUAAAAUAUUGGUUUGGUUCUUGUUUUUAUGGAUUAUGAAACAAAAGAACUGAAAAUGGAAUCGAUAAAUUUGGUUUUCAAAAUUCCUAACAAACUUUUAUAGUUAUUGAAAAUCAAAUAAAUUUAAUCGGUUUUGAUUGUAUUGGCUCGAUAUUAUCAAUUUUCGGUCUUUACUCAAGCGUAUAUGCAUGUGGGAAAUAUAAGUAUAUAUAUAUAUAUAUAUAUAGCUUUGGGAUUAACGACUAACUCCUACUAUAUAUUGAUGUGUGCAGUGGAGGCUCUCCAUGAAAUAGCAGAACAAGUGGGGAAAAAAGAUUGGGACUUCAGCCUAAACCCUUGUGAUGGCAACGCCAACUGGUCAACACCUAAAAGGAAGGAAAUGCCCUUGUAUAACAAUACUCUCACCUGCAAUUGCUCCUAUCCCAACGGUCAAUGCCACGUCGUUCAGAUGUAUGCUACCUUCCCUGAUUUAUACAUAUGUCUAUCUACAUAUUUGAAGUUUAACAGUCACCAUUAUGAUUUCUGCAAGUAUAUUCAAUGGUGCCAUGUUUCUAAUUAUCUGUAUAUCAUUUUAUUUUUGUGGGGUGGGGGUGGGGGUGGGGGUGGGGGUGGGGUGGGGAUGGGGAUGGUUUGUUAUGAGAACAUACCAAAAAUAGUAUUAAAUCAAGCAUGAUUAAACCCCGUCUAGCCUUGGUGGAUUAUUUGAACUCUCAACCCUUUUAACUGAGAUUAUUCACAAGCCCUUUUGUAGUCAGUCAUUCACUUAUACAAAAUAUACAGUUAGUUUUGUGACUUUUGUCUAUGUAGCCAGUUUGGUCUUGCCACUUGAAAGAGGAGAAACAAAUCAUCUGCCAUCCAUAAAAAAAAUCCAAGUACUAGAGUUUUUUUCCCCCAAUGCUUGUAUCUUUCCAGUUGCUCAUUGCUUACAUACGGUACCUACUACCUAUUUGAGAGCUUUGUCAUUGGUAUGCCUUAGAGGAUAUAUAUUCUCCUCUCCUUACUUUAAGGUCAGUCAAUCUACAAAAUCUAUCAUAGUCAUUAUAUCCCAAUUGACAAGAAGUUUGACAAUCUUUAUUAUUCAUUACUGUGCCAUUUAGGAUUUUGGGGGUGCUUCAAUGGUUUAGAAGGUCUAUGGAGAUAUGUUCACUUCCUGAACAACAUCCAUGAUCUUCUAUUAGUUGAUCUAAAACGAUUAGAAAAUUCUCUUGAAGAAAAACAGGGUCAUUAUGUUUUUCUUUUAAUGCAAAAUGACUUUUUGAGUUAGAUGUGGGGUGCUUGCAUACACAUACAUAUAGUUUAGAUAUACAUGUAUAUAAGCAUGUAUACAGUGGGUGACAAAUAAAGAAGCUCAAGCCAUCAACUACUAAAAUAUUAUCCUCCUCAUUACUUAAACACUUGUAGUAUGGUAUACAUAUAUAUAUGAAUCUAUUAUGUACAUGUAUAGUGUUUUCAUAGUGCCAUGGACCACAAAGUAUACUGAAGUUCUCAAUCUAACUUUGGACUACAUUCUCAUGGUUCACAUGCUUCGGGGCUUCUAAUUUUGAUGUUCCUCUAUUUUAUGAGCUACUGAAUUAUGGAUUUCUUACUGUUUCUUAAUUUGUAUUUGCACUUACAUAACUCUAUUACAUGUUUUAAUAUAAGCAGUUCGCACAUGAAUAGUUUCUUAUUAAGUGUUUUUCUUCACUUUACUCGUGCCUACUAACAAAACAUGACAUUUGGGAAUUUACCAAACCAAAACUCGAAUUCUAUGGACAUGUAUUACCUUGUUUCUUUGUCAAACAGAUUUCUCAAAGGGCAGGAUCUUGCUGGUGUGCUUCCCCCCUCUCUGGAAAAACUGCCUUACCUUAAGAUGAUGUAAGAAAUGCUUCUAUAAAUAUGUAUGUUUCUCAAAACUUAAAUUUCAAACUUUCAUUGUUGUGACAUUUUUUUUCUCGUCUAUAGUGAUUUCACUAGGAACUAUCUUAGUGGUAACAUACCGCAUGAAUGGGCUUCUAUGCAAUUAGAAUAUCUGUGAGACACUUCUGCACUUCAUCUUUAAGGUUAACCUGUAGAUGAUCUUUAUAAGAUUGAUAGAGUGAACUAUUCUUGCAGGUCACUUACUGUGAACAGAUUAUCGGGACCAAUACCUAGCUUCUUGGGAAAUAUUACUACUCUGAGAUAUAUGUAUGUAGUGACAUUCAUUUUAUCUCAACAACCCCAUUUUCUUUUCUGGAAAGUGCUUCUUAGUUUGUUUAGGUUUGCUUUUACUGUUAUCUUGAAGAAAUUGAAUUGAAUUUUUAGGAGUUUGGAGAGCAACCUAUUCUCUGGAACUGUUCCUCACCAGCUUUGGCAACUAGUCAACCUGGAAAAUCUGUUGGUCCUUCUGCUCUUAUCACUAUUCAUAUUUGGCUAUUCAUUUCUUGAUUAUCUGUAAUCUUUCAAAAUUAUUGCAAUUUAUUUUGGUUUGAUCUUCCCUUUGGUGACUAGCAUUCUUAACACUAACAAUCUCACUGGGGAGUUGCCUCCAACACUUGCUAAUCUAACCAAAUUAACAGAAUUGUAAGAUUUCAAAGCCCUUUACAACAAUGUAAAUGUAAAUAUUUCAUAUAUGUGAUGGAAAAAAGAUUAGCUUUUAUACAAUUACGUUUUUGUCUUUGUGUUGGAUCCAAUGCAGUCGGAUUAGUAGCAACAAUUUCACUGGAAAAAUACCCAAUUUUAUUCAUAGUUGGAAACAACUUCAGAAAUUGUAAGUUUCUUCUCAUGUUCUGAAAUUUCAUGAUAUUAGAAGUUUUUAGGUGCAAUCUUAGUGAAUUGGAAAUGUGUGGUUAAUAGAGAGAUCCAAGCAAGUGGUCUUGAAGGGCCCAUACCUUUUAGCAUUUCUGUCUUGAAGAAUUUAACUGAAUUGUGAGUUAAACCUUCUUAGUCAAUAUUUUGUUGAGUUGCUUAAUUUUUGCAGCCAUUUGCCUUUCACAUCAUAUCAUUAAAAUAGACUAGGAUUUUAAUUUUUCUUGAUGGGAUUCCAUGCAGAAGGAUUAGUGAUUUACCUGGGGAAGGCUCAAAUUUUCCAUCUCUAGGAAACAUGACAGGCAUGAAAAGGCUGUAAGUUGUAGUUGCGGUUUAAAAAUUCUUUAGGUGCAUAAUCAUUCUCAUACUCCUGUAUUAGUGCUUAUAUAGAUCAGGUUUACCUUGCAGGAUGUUGAAAGGCUGUAAUAUCUUCGGAUCAAUCCCCAAAGAUUUAGCAAAGAUGACAGAACUGCAAAUUUUGUAAUUCCACAACUAACUUUUUUUUUUCCCGUUGCCUUUCAUUUUUGGCAAUGCUAGUGAGUCCGCUAGAGUAAUGCAUUGCUAAUAUUACAAACUUAAUAUUACUAUGAACUUGUGUGUGUAUGCAUGGAAGCAAGAUGUCAAAUACUGUAUUUAUUUGUUUUCAAAGAAUAUAAAUAUAAGUGCAAAUGUCUAAGUUAGUUUGAGCAAACAACUAUGUAAGGGUUUUUCUUCUUUCAUAUUUUCUAUCAUGGUAACUAAAAUUGGACACUGAGAAAUUAUAUAUUUAUCCAAACCUAACUUUUAACUUUGACCUUUUACUAUUUGUGACUCUUCUUUCACAUGGAGAGAAGGUAAUUAUUUUCCUGCUCAACCAAAGAGGAAAACAAUUGAAAAGGUAAACCACUUUUUUUUUUUUUUUUGGCUAUAUUGGGAAGGAUUCAUAGGCUAGAACUUGCCAUAUGGAGAUGCUGACUAAGGGUGCUGGGAAAUUUGGACCAAAAUUGUGUUUUGGUUUCUACUUUUUAGUUGGGAACAUCCUUUGUUGUCCUUUUUUGCUUUGAAAAGCAAUUCCUUCCCUCUUGUGCAUUUUUCCCCUAAAUAAACUUCAUUCUCUAUGAUGAAAAGAACUGGAGGGGAAAAAAGAAGAAAAAGAAAGCUUUUGAUUGUGUAGAAACCUUUUUAUAAGAUAAAAUAGCUAUUUUAGUAAGAUACCGGCACUAGGGACCCUCAGUUCACCUUUAUUUUUUCUUUUGAAAAAAAAGAGGUGAGGUUGAUUAGUUUUAUAAUCUUAUGGUUGACCUGUUUGUAAGUAAUUCCAUCAUUGAAUUAUGUCUCUCCUUUUCCUACUUAUUUUUCAUACUUGUGGCAUUUUUUGUUUUCAAAUUUAUAUUGCACUAAAUUCAGUAGAAAGAUCAUUUGACUAAACCUUUAUUUUGUUUGCUUAAUUAUGACAUCUGUAUUGUUAUUUUCUCGCAGAGACCUUAGCUUCAACAAGCUGGAAGGAACUGUUCCAAACCUGGAAGAUUUAACAAAAAUGGAGCUCAUGUAAGCAAUUGAAAAUCAGGAAAGCAUGCUUUUUUUUUCUUUUCUUUUUUUUUUUCUUUUUUUUUUUUCAUAGGAGGUCUUCUUGUGGAUUGAUACACUAAAAUAUAUGUAUGAUUGUUCCAUUCUUGGUAGUUUACCUAGAUCAUAGAGUUACUAAACUAUGACUAAGCUCACACCCGAAAGAUGUAGGCUUACCAAGAAGGUUAUAAUAUAGAAUGGUAUAAGAAACUGAGUUAUAUGUAGGGAAGGCUUCCUAUAUAUUCAUCCUAUGGUUUAUGCUUUACCCUUACCAAAAUUCAGACUACAUUUUUCUUCAAUAUGACUGCAUAACAUUUUAAGAUAGUAACGACUAACAUCUCUUAACAAUUAAGACACUUUGUCAUUUUCUAUUUAGGUAUUUGACAAGCAACUUGCUUAAUGGGCCUAUUCCGGACUGGAUCAAGAGCAGAGAUAAUCGCUAGUAUGCUUUUAAUCCUACAUUUUCAAUUAAUUUGAUAUGAAAUUACUUAUUUUUGUGCUUCAAUCUCCUAUUUCUAUAUGCCUAAGUUGUACACGGGUAUAUAUAUAUGAAUUCCUCCUCUAGAAAGUGAUCCUUCUCUAACCCUUUUGGAGAUUAGUAUGCAGUAGACCUGUUUUAGCCAUUUUCAUCCCACCAUGUGCAACAUAUAAAAUCAUCCCAUGUAUUCAUAGGCGUAACAAGGCAUUGCAGAAAUUGAAAAAAAAAAUGUGCAUUUUUUUAUUCUCUCCAUUGUCUAUGCUUUUUUAUUGUUUUCACAACACUUUGAUUUAGGCUAGGCCAACACCUGAAUGGUCAUUAGUUCAGUGUACAACAUCUAAAAAGUGCAACAGGGACAUGGUAGAUAUAUUAUAAUGCUGAUUUAGAUGGUGAGGUAGAAGUUCUCAAUUCAUAAACUUUUUGUCAUUAUUUUCUCAAUUCAUAAAUUUUUUUUCAUUAUUGCUGCAUAUUAGCCAAAUCGGUUCAUACUGUAGCUAUUGAAGAGAAGAACUCAUAGAGAAGUUACUCGUAUGGGUGCUCCAAAAGCUUCUCAUUCUAAAAGAAUCUAACUCCUUAGCUCUUAAUUUCAAAAUUAGGUCAGAUUCCCUUCAAGGUUUCAUCUGCAAACUUCUAGUUAAUCUAUCAUUGAUAAUUCUUAUAAGAGUUCUUAAAAUUUUUGUAUGCAGCCAAAUUGAUAUUUCUUAUAAUAACUUUUCUGAGCCCUCUGUGCCAUCUACUUGUGGAGAAAGCUUGUAAGAACUUUUUUUUUCCUGAUUUAAACCUUAUUGAGCUUGACACAAAUAUUUUUCUUCAUUCACUAUCUAUUUGGUUGAAAAUAACUUUCUGUUAUUUUAUCAGGAACUUGUUCCGAAGCUUUUCUGAGAGGGGAAAAUUGUAAGCUUGUAAUUUUUUUUCAAAUUAAACUUUGAAGAGUAGUGAUAUGCAGGUUUGUUAGUUUCCUUGUACAAUACUGAUGUUUUGUCAAAUCUAUCCUUCUAUAUAGAGAACUUGGUAAGUGCCUGAAUAGUUUUCCAUGUUCCAAAGGUAAAUGCCUUAAUUAUGUUUUAUGAAUUUAUUUCCAUGCAUGAAUUUUAGUUAUUUUACUUCUUCUAUGUUUUAAACCUAUUUGAUCAUCAUUUAUAUUGUUGUUGUUUUAUGAAGAUCGGUAUUCACUGCAUAUAAAUUGUGGUGGAGAAGGAACCACCAUUGGAGACGUAGUCUAUGAAGCGGAUGACGAUUUAGCAGGUCCAUCCGAGUUUAACCCCAUCAGAGAUAAUUGGGGUUUUAGUAGCACAGGACACUUUUGGGAUCAAAACAGAACCUCAAAGGAUUAUAUAGCACAGAAUGUAUCCAUGCUCAGGAUGAAUGACUCUGAAUUGUACAAAAGAGCACGACUUUCUCCUCUGUCUUUCACUUACUAUGGACGCUGCUUAGCAGAUGGGAACUAUACUGUGAAACUUCAUUUUGCAGAGAUAGUGAUAAGAGACAAUAAAUCCUUUCACAGUCUUGGAAGACGUAUUUUUGAUGUUUACAUCCAGGUUGUCAAUCUUAUUAUUCCUGCAACUGGAAUGUCAAAGAAGACGAUUUAAAUUCAAUUAGUUUAUUGCAGGAAAAGCUGGAGUUGAAAGAUUUUAACAUUGUACAAGCAGCACAAGGGGUUGAUAAGGCAUUUGUAAAAGAAUUUAAAGCAGUUGUAAAGAACAAAACUUUAGAGAUCCGAUUUCAUUGGGCUGGGAAAGGUACAACUGCUGCCCCAAAGAGAGGAACUUAUGGUCCUCUCAUAUCAGCCAUUUCUGUAAAAGCUGGUGAGUUGUAUGCUCUGUAUAUAUAUGGUGAAAUAUUUGUAUUCUUCUUGUCACUCUUAUCAUAUUUGAGUUUGAGAUUCUUAGUUUGUUUAACUUGUUCUGCACUUUGUGUAAAUAAAUAAAUAUAUAAGCAUAGUAAUACAUUACAAGAAACUCCCUUAAAUUAUGGGAAACAAGGCAAGAUUACAUUGAUAUUUGACAAGAGGCCGAAUCAAUUUGCUGUCUUAUUUUCUGCCAGCUAAUUUGCUUGUUUGGGAUGUGUAUUAUCCAAUUGAUGUUUUUUAUAUUCAUAUUAACGUUUGAAUCAGACGAAAUUUUCCGUAAUUCAUGAUAAUGCAAUCUGACAUGUUCUUUUAUUUUUUUUGUUAUUCUUUGUGUAGAUUUUGAGCCUCCUUCUGAUGUAAAAAAGAAGAUAUUCAUUGUGGUUGGGGCUGUGGCUGUGGCUUUGGUAUUAUUCCUUGUUUUUGGUAUUCUUUGGUGGAAAGUUUGUUUUGGAGGCAGAAUCUCCCGGGAACAAGGUGGUGUAAAACUACUGCACAAACUAAAACUUAAGUAUAUUUGUUACAGGCAUGCUAGCAACCAUAUAGAAUUUUCAAUAUUUUUAUUUCAAUUAUGGUAAUAGAUGAAUCACCUUUGUUAUCGUGUUCUAACAUAUAUCUUAGAAAGAUGUGGAAAUAGACAAAAGAGGACGAAUGGACAACUGAUUUCAAAACAAUCCAGUUUUGACAUUUCUUUAGCUCUGAAGAGGUUUUAGCUCAUCACCUGAAGAUUUAAAUGCCAAAAUAAUCAGGUUUUGAAUAAGUUAUAUGGAAUGCAUAUCAAAUUCAAGAAAAAUGAUAAUUGGAAAUUUCAUUGUAUGGUGUUCCCUAAUUUCACCCAAUGCUCAAUUAAAUUGCUGAGCAAGAAGAAUUCCGAAUUGUAUAUGAGACUUUAGGUGGAGCAGCUUUUAAGGAUUUCUCUGACCUCUCUCUUUUAUUUCUUAAAACAUAUCUGCGAGAAAAUGAAGUAUUACAUUUGCAUUUCCUUUGUCUCAUUCUUUCAAAUGUAUUCUAACUAAUUAUGAGGCAUUCAAAGUACUAAAAGAAGCAAUGUUAGUACUUUGUGAGACACAAGUUACCAUUUUAACUUUUUCCAUUGAACAGAAUUGAGAGGAUUAGAUCUGCAAACUGGUUUAUUUACCUUGAGACAAAUUAAAGCUGCUACCAACAACUUUGAUGCUGCAAACAAGAUUGGAGAAGGAGGUUUUGGAUCAGUCUACAAGGUAUUCUACAGGCCCAUCAGUUCUUUGGUUAAUUCUUAAUUUUUAGUUUUGGUCCAUGACAUAUGGACCUAGACCUAUGAUUCAAGGAUCACUUGCACCAUGCCAAUUCAGGGUACACUAUUAGAUGGAACCAUAAUUGCAGUGAAGCAACUUUCUUCGAAAUCAAGUCAAGGAAAUCGUGAAUUUGUAAAUGAAAUAGGAAUGAUAUCCGGUUUACAACAUCCGAAUCUUGUAAGAUUAUAUGGAUGUUGCAUUGAAGGGAAUCAACUGCUGUUGGUAUAUGAAUACAUGGAGAACAAUUGCCUUGCCCGUGCUUUAUUUGGUAAUAAGCUCUAUCUUUGAAAUUCAUGUUAAUUUUUAUUUCAUUUAAAUAUAUCAAUAGUGACAAAAAAAAACUGACUCAUUCAUUAAUAGCUUUGAUGAAUUCCAUUGAUUCCGUAAUUCUGUUGAUUAUAGGUGGAGGAGAAAUCCAAUUGCAAUUAGAUUGGCCUACCAGGCAAAGGAUUUGUAUUGGCAUAGCAAAAGGUUUGGCUUUCCUGCAUGAGGAAUCGACACUGAAAAUUGUUCAUAGAGACAUCAAGGCAACCAAUGUACUUCUGGAUAGGGAGCUUAACCCCAAGAUCUCUGACUUUGGUCUGGCCAAGCUUGAUGAAGAAGGAAACACCCACAUUAGCACUAGAAUUGCUGGAACUAUGUGAGCUACUGAUCUCGUCUUUUUUUCUUUCAGUCCUUUAUUAAUAUGGCUAUUUAACUAUAGUACAGAGAAGGGAUGAUGAACAUAUUACAUUUGAAUUUUUCCUUCUCCAAAUCAAUGGCAUGAGAUAAUAGCCAGUAGUUGUUGAUCAACUCUGAAAUUAGACUGCUGCUCCAAUUUAGGCUUAGAAGAUGUCAAUUGAUUAAAACCUCUGCAACCAAAAAAGUUUUCAUGUAUGGAAUUUUUGGCAUCAAUAUCUGGUAGAAACUUGUAUACAUUAGGUGCUAUAAUUCAAAUGCAAACCUUACUUGCAUAGAGGUAAUUAGCUAGUCUUUGUGAACAAUGUUCAUGCUUUGCCAGCUAGUUAAAUAUAAUGAUAAUGUAAUUUAGGAUCCUUGAAGGGUGUUUUACAAACUAUUAUUAUUUACUAAAUAUAUAAGAUUUUGUUGGAAAUUUCCUACAUAAAGCUUAUUAUUGAAGUGGAGCCAUAAAACAAUGUUUACUGUGCAGAGGAUACAUGGCACCCGAGUAUGCAUUAUGGGGUUAUUUAACCUAUAAAGCAGAUGUAUACAGUUUUGGAGUUGUUGCUUUGGAAAUUGUUGCUGGGAAGAACAACAUGAAAUAUAAGCCAAAUGAAGAUUAUGUGUGUCUUCUGGACUGGGUAAGAGAGAUCGCUAUAUGUUUUUUGCAUGCAUCAUAUGAAAACAACAGUACAAAACUAGGUUACUUGCUUUGGAACUUGUCCAUGUAACCUGCUCAGCAAGCUGUGAGUCAUGAGAGACUCAAGUAGGAAGUAGACUGAACUCUGCAAAAGCAUCCAACUUGGUUGCUUGAGGCAAGUUCAGAGAUCAUUAGCCAAACUUUGUUUGCAAGGCUCUAAAUUUUUUGGACACUGAGGACUCUCCUCCGUAAAAUGUAUUGACUCUUUCUUCCUCAAUGUUUAUUAAAAGAAAAGCCUCUGAAAGAUAUGAAGUCACACAUGAAAAGGCAGAUGUUUUUAAUUUGGCAAUCUGUGAGAUGCUAAAUAACCUGAGGUUUCACUCUCAGCUGCUCUCAUCUCAUUUUAUGUGUGAAUAAAUACCAUUACCUGUUAAUAAUAGAUGUUUGUGUGUGUUGUAUGUGGAAAGAUUCAAACUGGUGAAGUGCUUGCAAUUUAUCUGUGGCACAGAAAGAAAAAUAUUUAACGGAAAAUAGCUAAAUUGCAAACCGCUGUAUGGACACUACUCACUGUUGGACCCAGUAUUCUGUGGAAGACAAUGGUGCAGUGACCGGUUGCAUGUAGUUCACUUCCAUUUUUCUUUCAUUCUUCUUUUGGUCUUGUUUGUUUUGGGCAUUUCCUGGUUUAUGAACUUCUAAAUUUGAAUCUGAGUGCAUGAAUGGAGGUUGAUAUUGUUUUAUCCAAGUUUCAUAUUUCUUUUGCUGACCUGUUCCUUCACAUUUCCACUACCCUCUUUCUGCAUCUUGAAGGCAU
rnacentral:lncRNA from 1 species